rnacentral:lncRNA from 1 species
CGUAGCAUCCUCACUGGCCUUGUAGAUACCUAUGUACACGAUUUGCUCGUACGCGUGGAUGUGUAGGUCGACGAAUUCUUGCAGGGUGAGGCGCCUCGUGGCGAGCGCGACCUCUAGGUGGACAUUCUUCGUGGCAUCGGCGGGCAGUCGCGGGACCACCAGUGCUUGAAAGAGGUUCCGGCCAUGGAGGCCGAUUAGGGUGGCAGGCAAUGAGGAGCCCGGGCGCGCGGGCUAGAGGAGUACGGCGAUGUCAUCCGCGAGCUUCUUGAGGAUGGUGAACUUGUUGCUGGUGGCAACGAUCAUCUGGUCCAACUGAGAGUCAUAGUUGGCAUCGACGGCGGCCAUCCACCAGCCGGUCUCCAACACCGUCUGGAGACGAUCCUCGGUGCCAUGCCGCAGGCCAACGUCGUGGACCAUCUGGCGCAGCCGCUGGCCGCUCACGCGCAUCGCCGCCAUGGGUCUGGAGCGAGCUUUUCUGCGCUUAGUGUAGGUGCUUAGCCAAGUGCUUAGGUGUGUAUGAUGUGGUAGAUGCAUUGGAAUGGAGGAGGGGCGCCUUUAUAUGAGGGCAAUGAGGGAAAACAGCGUUGCAUUCACAUCGUGCAGCCUCUUUUCUCGGACCUCCUCCCAUUACUUCCCUCAUGCAUUAAUUGAAGGAGGAUGCAUUGGCCGUUCAACAUAUCGGGAACCGCUACUCCCUCCCUCGUCUGCAUUGAAGGCGUAUCGGGAACUGCACCGCCCGCUAUCAAAUCGAAUACUCCCUCCGUCUAGGUGAGUAUUAUAAGUCAUCUUACGAAAACCAAAUACUAGUAAGACUAGCCACCGUGGGAGUAACUUCAGCAGUAACAUCGAGUCCAACUCAGCAAAUUUGCUUAUGUGGCAGUGAGUUAACUUAUGAUACCAUGCACUACGGAUGUAGUAUCAUACACUAGUAUCAUAUGCAUGAUACUAGUAUAUGACACUCGCCAUUACGACUAGCAUAAUAACUUAGCUAGUUACUGUAACAUCACAUGUCCCAAUGCAAUAUGAGUCUAUAACCUAAUAAAUGAAGCUUUGCAUGUUGCCACACUUAUGUUACUACUAUAUCUGUCCGGGUUUAUUGGUCCCCAUUGUAUUUCAUGGCAAAUUUUGACCAUAGAUUAAACUAAGAAAAUGUUCACGCAUGUCACUAAACAUUAUAUUUUUCAAAACUAUGUUCAAAGACAAAUCCAAUGAGAUAAUUUUUCUUGACAUGCAUUAACAUUUUGUUAGUUAAAUCUUUAGUCAAAAUUUGGCACGAACUAUAAAAGGGACCUAUAAACCAGGACGGAGGUAGUACCCACAAUGAAGGUAGUAACAUAGUCUAGGGAUAUGUAUAUGUUACUAGUGUAUGUUACUCACCAUUGUGGCUAGUCUAACACAUAGGCGUGGUGCAUUAACUCUCACAGUUUUCUUAUUUUUUGACAUAAAUAGAGGAAUCAACCAAGAAGAGAUGUUGGGCUUGUAUACUUUUAAUGACUUGAGACUAUCAAACAUGACAUGCAGUGGUCAGUUCGUUGCACAAGAACAAAUACAACCCACGCCAGCACACACGCAUCUUAUAGCAUCACAUCCAAUGGCUAUAAAAGAUGAAUGAGACCAAAUUAUAUCUCAUCUAGAUGAGUUCUAGCAAAACUGUAUUAAUAAUACUUAGUACUCCUACGCCAUGUAUCAUAUAAGUAUCAUGUAGUACUUUAUUUAUUGCCAUGUAUGACACAUAGUUCACGAGCGCUCUCUAUUUGUACCACCUAUUUUUUAAUUUCAAGUUUUGCUCCAUGGCGCAAUCCAUCGAUACUACUACUGUACAAAAGUGGAGUAUACACAUUUUUUAAAAGGCUAGAGGGCGGUGCGGUCUAGCUCGGUCGGUUUCACGAGAGGCGAGGGCCUUUGUGAUUUGACGGCUCAUUAAUGUUGUCAAAUCGAAUAGUACUGUGCCGCCCGCUGCACGCCCGGUGCCUCCAUUAAACCCCUCCAUUAAACCCGCAUGCAAACCAAGAAUCCUACUCCGGCCACACGUCCGUUCAUGAGCAGGCCGGAAUUAAACGCAAUACCGGCCGACCUGCUCUUGUCCGCCCUCAGUUUAAACGAGGCCAGACGUCGGCCAAGCUCCUACCGUCCGCCCUCUAUUUACACGAGGCCAGAAAGACAGCGGGCAAGAAUCGCACCCCUCCGCCGCUCCCCCAUCUCCUCCUUCACCAUUUUCUCCACCCUUCUGAUGGCUUCCGAUGAGCCGUUCUCUGGCAUAUUACUCGGCUGGGUGGCCCGCUGAGACCUCCGGAUAUGGGCGAGGACGCUCGGUGCUUCACCAACCUCGCUUGGCCCGACGGAGCCAGUUGCCGCCCCAAGCAGGCGCGUGGUUCAGCAACUCGCCGCUCCAGUUCAGCUCGAUGAGGAGUGGCGAGUUGCUCCACGCCGGCACGGCGGCGAGCACGCCGGUACGGGCGCCGUCGCUGCCACGUCGUACCGCGCCACCAGUGUCUAUGGUGGCCGCGCCUCCCGUGUCUAUGGGCGUGCCUCCCGUGCCUGCGGUAGCGCCAUGCAGGCAGAGACAGAAGCCGGGUGCAUGGAGAGCGACUAGUCGGUGGCCAGCUUCUCCCUGUCCGCCGCCAUCAUCGAGGAGAAGUAGAACACGGGAGGCCGCCGCCACUUGGGACCCAUGAAGGCCACCGCCGAGGCGACGACCGCGGAUUCAGGUGGUUUCUUUGCUGCUUCGUCUCUUCCGAGGACCUUCGUCGACCCCGCAAGUGUCUGACGGACAUGAGGAAGACAAAGGGAUCCGCAGGUGGCCAUUUAGAACUAAAAUAAGUCUAGAGAUAUCCAUUUCUAGGACAAGUAUUUCCGGACGGAGGGAGUAUUAAUUAUACAAGAGAGUCGGAUUGGCACCUCUUAGUUCAUGUAAAUGUAAUGAAAUCCAUCAUGUUUAUAUGAAGAUCCGGCUUUUUUAUACGAAAUCCUUCAUGCUUAUAUGAAAUCAGUCCGUGUUUGCACGAAUUUCAUCUGGUUGGUUAGAGUUGUAAAAAUGUAUGCCGCUGGCGUUUGAUGUCGUCCUUCGCGGAAGGAAGCGGGAGGAAAUUUGCCGGCUGCCGUUGGAGAUGCUCUUUAUGCUGGAAAUAAUAGAGUGACAUCCAAUCCAUUUGAGUUAAUUGCCUGUAUGAUUGUCCCUCUAUAAAAAGUUAAUUGCAUGUACAGUGUACACGUGACUUGUAAGGUGGCUACAGCUUCGUACAGAAAGUUAAAAAGAAACAAGUCCAUCCUUAAUAUUCUAAGUACUCUAUGGGUUCCACUGUCAAUACAGUAGCGAAAGAAGUAUAUAUUAAAUAAGUAGAGUAAUAUAUAAUAUACAAAUCUAAAUUUAAAAGACAUAAUUCGAACUCAUGUCAUCGUGUUGCGAGCAUCCGGUGCUAACAAGCCCAACACAUUUUUGUUGUAGACCAUGCUGGAGAUAUAUCUCCAUGUCUACUCUUAUAUAUACUCCAUUCGUUCCUAAAUAUUUGUCUUUUUCAGAUUUCAAAUGGACUACCACAUACGGAUGUGUAUGUAGACAUAUUUUAGAGUGUAGAUUCACUCAUUUUGCUACGUAUGUCUUUUCAGGAAGGGGUCAGAUUUGUCCUUGAUUUAUUUAUGAGGUAUCCAGAUGGCACUGCACCGCCAAGAAAAGAGGGUAACAUCGAAAUUAUGGACUACUUUUUUGAGUAUGUUGGUAAGGUCCGGUCAUAGUCACUUGUUGAAAUCUCUAAAAAGACAAAUACUCCCUCCAUCCGGAAAUACUUGUCAUCAAAAUGGAUAAAAGGACAUGUAUCUAGACGUAUUUUAUUUUUAGAUACAUCUAUUUUUAUCCAUUUUGAUGACAAGUAUUUUCGGACGGAGGGAGUAGAAAACCGAGUUGGUGAUGAUGGUGUGCGUACCAUCCUGCAAUAUAGGCCGUCGGAUUUAUAUCUAACGGAUAGGAAAGAAACUAUGGCAAUUUUGCAAAAAUAUACCCACACGUCUCUCCACGUUCACAAAUAAGGCCUUCCCUCGUUCAUCCUUUUCUCUCACAAGAUAAACUACUCAUACAAAUGCAUCUUGAUGUUCCGUGCAACGCACGGACAGCUAGCUAAUUUCUUUUAAAGUAGUUGCUGCGAUAAUUGGGUUGAAGUGAUAUGUUUUAUGUCUGCCCUGAAUGAUUUCAGAUUCACUAGUACUCCCUCCGUUCCAAAAUAGAUGACCCAACUUUAUACUAAAGUUAGUACAAAGUUGAGUCAUCUAUUUUGGAACGGAGGGAGUAGUAACAAAGAAAAGGUUGCCUUGUUAAUUAACAGAAAACGGGGUGAAAACUAUCACAUGAGGCUGGUAAAAACAAGGCACACUGGGUUCAGUGUCAUCGUCACUACAGUUGUGCGUGCGCGAGAAGUCUACAUAUCGAAGGGGCUACCGAGCGAGGCACCGAGACACAAUGUUUGAGAGAGAAACCAAUUGACAGAUUAUGAUCAGAUCGAGUUGUCACCCUUCUGCUGUCAUUGUUGGGGGGGGGAGGGAGAGAAAGACGUAUCGAGAGUGUGCGUGGUAGGCACAUAGGCACAACUAGCGAGUGUGUGUGUGUGUGUGUGUGUUUGAAAGAGGAGUUGAUAGAUUAUUAUCAAGAUCGAUGUGCCACCCUACUCCUUCAGCGUCGGGUAGUGUGUGUGUGUGUAUGUUUGAGAGAGAAUCUAGUCGAUAGAUUAGUAUCAAGAUCGAGGUCUCACCCUACUCCUUCGGUGCCGGGUAGUGUGUGUGUGUGUGUAUGCUUGAGAGAGAAGCCAGUCCAUAGGUUAGUAUCAAGAUCGAGGUGUCACCCUAUUCCUUCGGUGUUGGGAAGUGUGUGGGGGGGGGCAGUGACACUCACAUAUCUCUACUCUUAUAAAAACAGAGUUGGUGAUGAUGGUGUUCCUGCCACCCUGCAAUAUAGGCCAUCCGAUUUAUAUCCGACGGACAUGAAGGAAAAUAUGGAAAUUUUGCAAAAAGAUACCCACACCCCUCUCCGCAUUUGCAAACAAGGCAUUCCCUCGUUCAUCCUUUUCCCCCACAAGAUAAACUUCUCAUACAAAUGCAUCUUGAUGUUCCGUGCAACGCACAUGGGCAUCUUGCUAGUAGGGAGAAGGAGUUUGUGUGACACAUAUCUAGCUAUAUUAAGGGAUAGGAGAUAGCAUAUGUGUGAGAGACAUUAUUAUACUUUGAGACAUUAGUGGCUGUGGGUGGGCGGAAUUAAAGGGGUGGGCGUGUUAGACAUAGAGAGCAUGUGUGUUUCUGUGUGAGAGACUUGUAGGACGGGGUAGAAAGACAAAUUUAACCCCGACGGAGGGAGAGAAAUACACGAAGUGCGCGUGUGUGAUUCCGAUGCCCAUAGGGAAAUGAGAUAUGUAUGCGUGUGAGAGAGAUUGCACAAUUCAUUCACGUAUCACUAUCUAGCAACCGUGGACGUGCAUCGCUUGAACAUAAGUCAAUAUCUACUUCGUAUCGUGGCCAAAGUUACAAUAUCGAUUCAACGCUAUAAAGAUUGGACACUCACAUAUCACAUUUUUUUCUAUUUAAAUAAACCUUUUUCAGUUGUGCAUGCCAAAGUUACAGUGAUGUUUCUUCAAACAACCAAUGUAGCUAUCAUGCACAUGCACCAUUGUUAGUCCUGCAUUCACAUUCAUUAGUCUUGGAUGAUUUAAGUUUCUAUUUUGAAGUAAUAUAUAUGUAAUAUUCAUAUAUGAAUUCAAGGGUUACGCAAUUUAUGAAAUGGAGGCUAUGUAAUCAUAUGAGGUAACACUUUUAAGUAGCUAACUACAAUAUCCAUUUCUUUUUGUGCGCCUCUACACUAACACGUCAAUGCAUUAUGUUUAAAGUAAAUAACCAAUGGCACUAAAUUAUCUAUUUACAUGAGAAAUACAUAGGCUGAGUGAGGGAGUCCUGGAUUAGGGGGUGUCCGAAUGGCCGGACUAUGACCUUUGGCCGGACUCCUGGACUACGAAGAUACAAGAUUGAAGACUCCGUCCCGUGUCCGGAUGGGACUUUCCUUGGCGUGGAAGGCAAGCUUGGCGAUGCGAUAUGAAGAUCUCCUCCCAUUGGAACCGACUCUGUGUAACCCUAGCCCUCUCCGGUGUCUAUAUAAACCGGAGAGUUUUAGUCCGUAGGACGAACAACAAUCAUACCAUAGGCUAGAUUCUAGGGUUUAGCCACUCCGAUCUCGUGGUAGAUAUACUCUUGUACUACCCAUAUCAUCAAUAUUAAUCAAGAAGGAGUAGGGUUUUACCUCCAUUAAGAGGGCCCGAACCAGGGUAAAAACAUCGUGUCCCUUGUCUCCUAUUACCAUCCGCCUAGACGCACAGUUCGGGACCCCCUACCCGAGAUCCGCUGGUUUUGACACCGACAUUGGUGCUUUCAUUGAGAGUUCCGCUUUGUCGUCACCAUCAGGAAGGAUGCCUCAUCCCGUCUUUAAAGACGGCGUCGUUGCUAAAGGAGUUUUGGCUGUCGGCCAAACUCUCCGGCUAGGCAAGUUUUUGAUGACCGUCAGUCCGGCCGCUGCGCCAACGGUGACCUCUCGGGCCAUCGAAAGCAAUCUUCACAUCAGCUCGGAGCUCGCCAAGUAGUUAGAUCCGAUGGAGCUCUUCUCCCUAAACGAACUCUUGGAUCGCAUCGCGGCCCUGGGAGUCGCUACUGAUUACGACCAGAUUGGGCUUAAACCUGAUCAGAGAGAGAUCGACUCUCCCCAGAUCACCCACCAUGUUGAAGUGGUGGAAGAACAAUGCGGCGAGUCUUCGCCCGCCCUAAGGACCAGAUGCGACCGGAUUCCCGAUCCCUCCAAGCCGGAAACCCGCAGGGGAGGAUGUCGCCCGAACCCUGAACCUAAAGUCAAGCAGUAGUCCCGAUUCAUUGAAUAAUAUCCGAGAAAGCAAGCUUCCGAAUUCGAAAACCGCUCGGUCCCUGAAUCUUAAAUCGGGCAGGGUUUCGAAUUUAUUUCCACCCGCCCACCCAACUAUAUGGGAUUUAUCCCUAAUAUGGCAAGAGUCCAGAGAAACAGUACACCACUACUGGGCUAGAUUCCUCCUGGUUAUGAACAGGAUAAAGGACUGCCGCGAGAGAGAAGCAAUUUCACUCUUCCUUAACAACUCCACGGACAUCGAAAUCCUCAACGCCAUAAGUCGCCGCGAAAUUACACGAUUCGCCGACUUGACAUCCAUAGUAUGAAAGUACUGCGCGAUUGAAAGCGUUCGGAAAACUGAAGAUAAAUUCUGGGACAAUCCGGCCCCGAAUAUAACACGAGUCCGAAACAAAAGGGCGCAUUAUCGCCACGCAUCUGAGCCAAACAUCAAAAAACAAAAACCCUCCACAGGGUACGGGACCGUAUUGGAAGGAUGGCUCAAUGGACCAUGUAGAAUUCAUAAUUCAGGGAAAGCCACACCAAUGCACAGCCUUAGAGCAUGUUGGAUACUACGGCAGGUAGCCAGAAGCGGCGAGGAGCUUUUAACUCGAGCACCCGAAGAAUACCUCCCCAGUACGGUGUCGAUAGUCUUCGAGACGUUCACAUCAAACAAUGCAAGGAAACGAACGCUCCGCAACCUCGCUGAAGUCUACCAAGUAGCAACAAUAAACCCAUGGAGUGACACGGCUAUCACCUUUAACGCCAGUGACGAACCUAAAUUCCGGACAACCCAAGCACCAGCCGCAUUGGUCCUCAGUCCGACAGUGGAUGGCUUCCGACUUACAAAGGUACUCAUGGAUGGCGGCAGCGGACUCAACCUCAUCUAUGAGGAAACCCUGCGAAAAAUGGAAAUUGACAGGAGCCGCAUUGAGCAAAGCAACACAACUUUUAGGGGAAUAAUCCCAAGCCGGGAAGCGUGCAGUUCAGGAAAAAUCACACUAGAUGUGGUGUUCGGCACGCCGGACAAUUACAGAUCCAAGGAGGUCACGUUUCAAGUGGCCCCAUUCAGCAGCGGCUACCACGCUUUGCUAGGGCGAGAAGCAUUUACAAUUUUCCAAGCCAUACCCCAUUACGGGUACGUGAAGCUCAAAAUGCCCGGGCCCAACGGAAUCAUCACUCUCACAAGUGAUCCGGACAUAGCACUCCGCGCUGAAAAUAAGACAGCCGCACUGGCCCUGGAGGCAUUAUCGGAGGCCCUAGCGGCCGAGGAGUUAACGGCGUUGCGCUCCACGAUGGACAGGGACGAUGUGAUACUAGACAAGAGAUCCAAGUCCACCUCUUUUAAACCGGCGGACGAAAUAGUCAAAUUCCAAGUCCAUCCAACGGACCCUACAAAAAUGGCCUCCAUCGGGGCACAAUUAAAACCCGAUGUAGACGCCGCACUCAGAGAAUUUCUGCGAGAAAAUUGGGACAUUUCCACCUGGCACCCCUCGGAUAUGCCAGGAAUCCCACGCAGGCUGGCCAAGCACAGCCUGAACAUCAUAAAAGGGUUUAAACCCGUCAAGCAGACCCUAUGGCGCUUUUCCAAACCUAAGAGACAAGCCAUGGGAGAGGAACUUGCAAAACUGCUGGAAGUCGGGUUCAUCAGAGACAUAAAACAUCCAGACUGGCUAGCAAACCUGGUGAUGGUACCAAAGAAGGACAAAUCUUGGCGCCUAUGUGUCGAUUUCAAAGACAUAAACAAGGCAUGUCCAAAGGACCCUUUCCCACUCCCUCGAAUCGAUCAAAUCAUCGACGCCACUGCAGGACACGACUCAUUGUGUUUCCUCGAUGCAUACUCUCGCUACCAUCAAAUCAAGAUGGCAGAGUCAGACUAGGCCGCAACGGCAUUCAUCACACCGUACGGCCCAUUCUGCUUCAACACGAUGCCCUUCGGGCUCAAAAAUUCCGGCGCAACAUAUCAGCGCAUGAUUCAGACAUGUCUGGCCAACCAGAUCGGCAAAACAGUCGAAGCAUACGUAGACGACAUGGUCGUCAAAACAAAACACGUUGAUACUCUAGUAGACGACUUGAGGCUCACGUUCGACAAUCUCCGAACAUAUGACAUUAAGCUCAACCCGGAAAAUGCGUUUUCGGUGUACCAGCAGGAAAGCUCCUGGGCUUCAUCGUAUCCGGUAGAGGAAUUGAAGCAAACCCAGCCAAGAUCCGAGCUCUGUCACAAUUAGAUACCCCAAAGGACCUCAAACAAAUACAAAAACUGACAGGAUGCGUGACGGCUCUAAGCCGCUUUAUCUCCCGCUUAGGAGAAAAGGCAUUACCCCUCUAUCGCCUCCUACGGUGCACCGACCACUUCGAGUGGACGGAGGCCGCCACGACCGGACUCGAAGAAAUAAAAGCCAUAUUGGUAACAAAUCCGGUCCUGGCCGCGCCCAACACGGGCGAACCAAUGCUAUUAUACAUCGCGGCAACCCAUCAAGUUGUCAGCGCGGUGCUCGUCGUCGAACGAGAAGCGGACGGACACAAGUCCCCCCUCCAAAAACCAGUGUACUACGUGUCCACUGUGCUAACUCCAUGCAAGUCACGGUACCCGCAUUAUCAAAAGAUAGCAUACACGGUGUUCAUGGCAUCCCGGAAGCUGCGACACUACUUUCAAGAGUGCUCCAUAACAGUGGCAUCCGAAGUACCCCUUAAUGACAUUAUAAAUAACCGCGACGCAAUGGGCCGGAUUGCCAAAUGGGCCAUCGAGCUCCUCCCAUUCGACAUAACCUACAAGCCAAGGCGAGCUAUUAAGUCGCAGGUUUUGGCCGACUUCGUUGCCGAAUGGACUGAAGCCGAACUCCCUAAAGAAUACGGAGCAUACUCCAACUGGAUCAUGCACUUCGACGGCUCCAAAAUGUUGGCUAGCCUGGGGGCUGGCAUCGUCGUGACGUCCCAACCGGGGACAUAGUCCAAUACAUACUUCAGAUAAUGUACACGGAUUUGAACAACGCAGCCGAAUAUGAGGCCCUUUUACAUGGCCUCCAAUGGCAGUCUCCAUGGGCAUUCAGCGCCUAGAGGUCCGCGGGGAUUCAAAUCUCGCAAUAUCCCAAAUAAAUGGAGACUUCAACGCCAAGGACCCGAAAAUGGCAGCUUACCGCAACGCCAUCUUAAAGAUGUCAGCUCGGUUUGAGGGGCUCGAAUUUCAUCACAUAGCCCGGGAAAAUAAACAAGCAGCAGACGUGCUGGCACGCAUCGGCGCCAAGCGCGAGGCCGUCCCUCCCAACAUCUUCCUAGAAAGGCUGUUCAAGCCAUCUGUAUCAUGGGACGGAGAACCCGGAAACAAUAGCCCGGACACAACUACACUGCCCCUCACCGAGCAUCCUGACACAAUUGGGGGCUACGCCAACGAAACAACGCCGUCAGCCCACGAAAUAAUGGCAGUCAUUGCCCCUUGGACAGAGCCAUUCCUAGCCUACCUAACUAGGCAGGAACUUCCCAAGGACCAAAACGAGGCCCGCUGCAUAGUGCGGCGAUCUAAAGCCUACAAAGUCCACGAGGGAGAGCUUUACAAGAAAAGCACAACCAGAGUCCUUCAAAGGUGUAUCUCCGACGAAGAAGGACGAGACCUUUUGGCUGAAAUCCAUGCCAGACUUGGCGGGCACCACGCCGCAGCCCGGGCCCUUGUAAGCAAUGCCUUCCGUACUGGAUUUUAUUGGCCAACGGCCCGGGCAGAUGCUCAGGACUUAGUGCAACGAUGUGUUGGUUGCCAGUUAUUCGCCAACCAAAGCCACAUGCCGCCUACCGCCCUACAAACUAUACCCAUUACCUGGCCUUUCGCGGUCUGGGGGCUUGACAUGGUCGGACCCCUUAAAGGCGGAACCCACAAGAAAAAAAUACCUACUAGUCAUGGUGGACAAAUUCACCAAAUGGAUAGAAGCCAAGCCUGUAAAGACGACCGAAUCCGGACCAGUGACAGACUUCCUUUCUGGGGUUGUACACCGUUACGGUGUCCCCCACAGCAUCAUAACCGACAACGGCACAAACUUCAUGGCCGAUGAAGUCAAACUUUGGUGCAAAAACAUGGGCAUCAAGCUCGACUAGGCUUCAGUCUAUCACCCUCAAACUAACGGUCAAGUCGAACGGGCCAAAGGUCUCAUUACGAGCGGCAUCAAACCCAGACUAGUGCGAUCCCUCAAGGAAUAUGACAUGCACUGGGUAGAGGAGCUUGACUCCUUACUCUGGGGGCUGCGGACCACGCCGAAUCGCACUACCGGAUUCCCACCAUUUUUUAUGGUAUACGGCGCAGAGGCAGUACUGCCAUGCAACGUAAUCCAUGACUCACCUCGAGUGCGCAUGUACGAAGAAAGAGAAGCCGAGCUCGAUCGGCAGGACAGCUUGGACGCAUUGGAAGAGGAGCGCGACGUGGCAAAGGCUCAUUCCGCAUUCUAUCAACAGCAGGCUCGAAGAUAUCAAAGCAGAGAAGUACGGGCCAAAACGUAUAAUGUUGGCAAACUAGUUCUACGCCUGCCGGACAAGAAAAAGGAUAAAUUAAAGCCCAAAUGGGAGGGCCCCUUCAUCAUUGACCAAGUACUGACCGGCGGAGCGUACCGUCUGCGAGGCACAUCGGACAACCGACUCGAGCCAAACCCAUGGAAUGCAGCACGCCUACGAAGGUUCUACACCUAGCGCCGGACUCCGUUUUCGUCUCCUUCCCUCGUCCCUUUGUUUUAUUUUUUGUUUUUAUUUUUGGCAGUCUGGGUUUUGUUCCUUCUCCCUCCCCCUUUUUCUCACAAGCCCUUAGGGGCUCGCAUGUGCAAUAUUCGCACGCUCCUGACGCGCUAUCUGCGCUCACAAUACCUGGGGGCUUCUCUACCAAGAAGUUUAUAAAAAAUGGGCCUCACGCCCAAAACAUGUGUAAUGCUUCCGCAUGAACCUUUUAUACACCAUUAUAUGCAUCGAUAUGACUUAAGUUUUGGCCAAGCUGGGUUGCCUGGCUCCUGUGCUUACCCAUACAUUCCCGUUCGUUCGGCUAGGUGGUAAAGGGAGCACCUCUGUGAUUGUUACUGCCGGGUCAGCUGGAUGUGUACCUCAAACUGGGUGAAGCCGAAAGCUAGCGUUCUUAAGGGAAUAUUCGGCCGGUGAGCUAAAAGAUGAUCUUUCGUAUUUACUUUUUUCCCCAGAUGCUUUUCUGCUCUUUCUGGCAGUUCGGACAUGCACUUUAGGGCAUGCCUCCCAGGGAAAGGAACCCCUAACGGAACUAUUCUCUCUGGAAGAUGUUUCUUACUAACCAUGUAAUAUAACAUAACUAGUUGGGCACUUGUCUGCUAAAGCACUUAUGACCCCUAUGCCUUGUCUCCAUUCAUGCCCCGGUUCUUACAUAACCAAGAGGGUAUUCGGACACACUCCGGACUAUAGGGUCCAGAGGUCGAAGCGAAAAGGUCCGCAAUGAAAAACGAUCUACAAUCCGGCUAGAGGACAUUUUUUAUGUCAUUUUUACAUAGUCAAUCCGACUCGGCAUAUUCUUCUUCAAUGCCAUCUAACAGGCGGCCUAAUUUACAGUCCUGUUGGGAAUACUUUGCAGCCAGCUCCACCUGGCCAUAUGCCAAGCUGACUGGGAUCUCCUUUCCGUCCGGACCUAUAGGGCCGACCUCGGCCAUGUGGUUUGGGUCAGCCUUCGUGUACCGAGUCUUCACCAUGGCCCAGGCAUCCCUGGCACCUUGACGACAAGCUGAUAUCUUCCAUAACCGGAAGCGCUGCCGCACUCCCUCCAGCUUCUUGGCAAGCUCCUCAAGGCCUUCGGGCACGGAGAGGGAUGGCCACAUAGCCUGGAUGACGCCUCGCAUUGCCUGCCGAACUCGCUCGUGUAGUUGCAACAGCUCGGGAAGAUGGUCUCCCGAUGAACCGGGCAUUUCCUCCGCCGGACGACCCGUCAGCAGACCUACAGACAUAGCUCUGUCAAUCGACUUCCUCGCGGAAUUCUUUUUUCGAAGAUUCGUUCAAGCACUUACUAAAAAUGCCGCGUCGAAGUCGCCGAUUCUCCUUCACGGCAGAAGACAGCUGAAUGCGAACAUCUUUCGGUUCCUCGCCUAGCUGGGUAUUGGCAUCUUGAAGCUUGUUCUUCUCUUGUCUCACCCUCGUCAGCACGUUCUCGCCAGCCUUUAGUUGGCGUAGGAGUUGUUGCUGGUCCAGAUUUACUCCGGCCUCAUCUGCAUUAUUAUAGUCAGGGUUGCACGCCUGCCGCAUUUCAAAAUGGAGGUACCUUUCGAAGCACAUAUUACCUGCGGGCGUCCCCUUGACAUGCUCUAAAGUGGCCAAUGCGGCCUCGAGCUAAGCCUUGCACUCUUCAAGCUCCUGGGACAAUUGCGUGUUCUUCUUUGUAAGACACUGCAUAGCACAUGAUCCUUCAAAUAGUUAUCUUCACUGUUUCAAGUCUCGGGGGCUACUGACAUAUAUAACAUUCAAUUCUACUCACCUGUAUGUCUUUCACAUACUGCUCCGUGGCUUUGGCUAGGCCAUUUUGAGCAACACGGAGAUACGCAUCUCCUGUAUUAAAGGCGUCCAACGCCUCUAGGGAGAAACACGUGUCACGGAGAACAGUCCGACGCCGCCUGUGGUUUAGGGCACUCUCCACCUCUGAAUUGGUGGCAGAUAGCCCGUCGGUGCCCUCUGUCGGAGGAGCGCCCGAGGCGCGUCCCGUGUUUGCCUCUGCUUCCGGACCCGGCCUCGAACCUUGGCCGGCGGACAUAGUCCGGCGGGCUCUCUUCUUUCUAAGAAAAUCAUGAGCAUUAGUAAGACUCAAGGGCAUAAACCCUAAGCGUUAAAUCCGCACACCAUACCGUUGCACCGGAAUCUCGAUCUGGUCUGCACUUAUUUUUGGCCCGCCUGGUUUCAACGGCCCUUGUUGGCUGCCCACCAUGGGCUCGGCCUUCCACCUCAAGGAUUUACCCUGCGAAACGCUGUUAGUGCACGGCAUGCAAGAUAAAGCAUGAGAAUACUGGGACUUUGGUCUUAGUUACCUUGGAGGCUGGAAGUAGUCCGGGGUAGUCGGCCGUGAUGGCCACUAAGGAGUUAUCCUUGCUCAAUUGAUGAAACACUCCAUCAACCAACUCCACGCAUAAGUCCGGAUCUUCUUGGGAGUCCGGAUCGAAGGACCAUUCCGGAUCCUUGGGUUGUGGAGCGGAGCUGUUUAUUUCCUUCGCAGCCUGGCGCAGCUCCUGCGUUUAAACAUUACUAGUCUAAGUACUCAACUACGGGAAUUUCGAAAACGGAUAGGCAAGUGAAAGUGUCCGCUCACCCAACUAGGAGGAUUGUACAUAGAGAAUCCGCCUUCCAGGUUGACACGGAGGAAUUCUUCCUCCUCCCCCUUGUACAAAGCGGAUAAGAUUCUUGUUAAAGUGGCGGCCGAAUCUGGCCCCUUGCGACCGCACCAGGUAGCAUCAUCCUCCCUGUUGAAAUCCCACAUGGGGUGGCCUCUGUAUUGAAGCGGUUGCACCCCUCGCGUGAUGCAUAUGGCCAUGACCUUGAUCAUGGUCAGUCCGGAAUGAGCCAACAACCUUAUCCGGCUCAUCAGGUACAGGACGUCCCUAUCAGCUUCCCUCUGAGAGUUCCGUAGGCGCCAACUCAGGCGCUUCUUCAACGGGGCAUUAUUGAACUCGGGGAGGCCGAUCCGUACAGGGUCUGGCAGGGGGGACGUCAUCUAUAUAAAACCAUUCCGAGGGCCAGUCUUCGGACACCCUCCUUGGGGUGCUGGAUAGAUAUCCGGUCCCGGCGAUGUGCCAUAGCUCGGCUCCGCCCACUUGAUAAAUAGACCCCUCCUGAGAAUGAGGCGCAAGGCAAAACAACCUCUUCCACAGCGCGAAAUGGGCCUCAACACCCAAGAACAGCUCACAGAGGGCCACGAAGCCCGCAAUGUGCAGAAUGGAGGCGGGCGUGAGGUUGUGUAGCUGGAGGUCGUAGAACUCCAGCAACCCUCGAAGAAACGGAUGAAUUGGAAAUCCGAGUCCUCUCAUUAAAAUAAGGGACUAGGCAUACCCGCUCUCCUCGAGAGGGAUUGGGGACGCUCUACGCCUGCUCUCCGCCGCUAUAGGUAGCAAUCCCGGCUCGAACUGGGACCAUGUAUGCUGGGGGGAGAAGCCCCUUGGACUGAAGCACUACUAACUCGCUAUGCGGGACGGAACACUGCCCCCAAUCUCCGGGCCGAGUGCUGGAGGGGCGAGAGGAGGAGCUGCACCGACCGGCCAUGAUGGAAUGGAUCUCUAUCGAAGGCGCUCUGAUGAAAUCUCGCGGAGGGAAGAUGGGGUGAAUUGGAUCUAAAUCCCCGUCUCUUUUAUGGGCGGUUCAUUAACGCGACCAAGGGGGUAACUAAAAAAAUCCCCUGGCUUUUCGCAUUCGUUUGACACGUGGAAGAUGGUCAUUAUGGGGCACAAAAGCAGAGGAGGGCAGCACGCACUAGAAGCCAGACACUAUUCGACGGAUACAGAGAAUUUGCAGGAGAACUGCCUUGCAAUGCCGAAGACAACUUGCGCGCCGGACUCGUCGUCAUUGAAGCCUGGUUCGGGGGCUACUGAGGGAGUCCUAGAUUAGGGGGUGUCCGGAUGGCCGGACUAUGACCUUUGGCCGGACUCCUGGACUACGAAGAUACAAGAUUGAAGACUCCGUCCUGUGUCCGGAUGGGACUUUCCUUGGCAUGGAAGGCAAGCUUGGCGAUACGAUAUGAAGAUCUCCUCCCAUUGUAACCGACUCUGUGUAACCCUAGCCCUCUCCGGUGUUUAUAUAAACCGGAGAGUUUUAGUCCGUAGGACAAACAACAAUCAUACCAUAGGCUAGAUUCUAGGGUUUAGCCACUCCGAUCUCGUGGUAGAUCUACUCUUGUACUACCCAUAUCAUCAAUAUUAAUCAAGCAGGAGUAGGGUUUUACCUCCAUCGAGAGGGCCCGAACCUGGGUAAAAACAUCGUGUCCCUUGUCUCCUGUUACCAUCCGCCUAGACGCACAGUUCGGUACCCCCUACCCGAGAUCCGCUGGUUUUGACACCGACACUGAGCGUUUGAUCUGUUUUUUUGUGAACGCGCCACUACACCCGUAUGAUUGGUCGCGCCCGUGUGAACGUCCAAGUUAUCGGCGCAUCAUCCCGAGUUAUUGUCUUUUUUCUGGGGUGGACUUCACACCAGUUAUUAACUGCUGACGCGUGCCCCGUGUACACAGUCUAGCGUGACCUUCCCGCUAGCACGGUCCAAAAUUAGUUGAAACUGGAUACGAACAAUCCCGCGGGCGGCAAAAUCUCCCGCCUCCUUCUAAAAUUUCCGCCACCUUAGUCUUUAGCAUGCAAAAUCCCCCUUUUGUCCUUGGUGCACGGAGACCAACAGUUACAAUACCGCCCUCAUCUACAUGAUAGGUCGGGGCUGCUUUGGUAACUUCCGGUUCCCCCCACUACACGCCACCCCCAUUUCCUCUCCCCUCCUCCCGCAAAAACGACUAACUCCACAGCACCAGAGCAUCUUACAUCACGUCGUCUGUACUUCAUCGCCAUUUCUCCCCUCCUCUCUCGAAACCCUAGACUGCUCAUCCACCAGCGUACCAUAGCCCAUUCACUGCCAGCGGCGUCCACCUCACCGGAUCUGCUUCUACAGCCGCAUCUACCCCUCCCACCUCCCCUAGAAACAAGUAUACUGCUCAUCCACCACUGUACCACAGCCCAUUUAGUGCCAGCCUUGUCCACGGCGCCGAAUCUGCUUUGCCGGUACUCUCAUCAACCGCCGCGCAUCUACAGUGGCUCAUUCGUACUCUCCACCGGAGACGCUUCGUCCACACCCCCCGGAGCCGCCCCACCGAUGCCCCUGUCAACGGCCUCUAAUUCUCUUCACCGACACCUUCCUCAACCCUACCGGAGGCGCUUCGCCGACACCUUCCUCAACCCUACCGGAGCCGCUUCGCCGACACCAGCGUCAACCCUACCGGAGUAGCUUCGCCUAUACCAUUCUCAACCCUACCGGGGCCGCUUUGCCAACUCACAAGUCCAGGCCUCAGAUCCGCUUCCUUGCACCCUCAUCCAACCUACCGAAGCAGCUUCUGACACCCCGUCCACAGCCGCAGAUCCGCAUCAUCGACACCACCCUUAACCCAACCACCGGAGCAGCUUCUGACGCCCCACCCAUGGCCGCAGAUCCACAUCGUCGACACCAUCCUUAACCCAACCACCGGAGCAACUUCUGACGCCCCGUCCACGGCCGCAUAUCCGCGUCGUCGACACCAUCCUUAACCCAACCACCGGAGCAGCUUCACCUACGCCCUCGUCCACGGCCACAGAUCCGCUUCGCCCACACUGUAGUCCACCCUACCAGAGCCGCCCCACAAACACCCUACUCGACGGUUCUAGAUCUCCUUACCGGAUCCCGACAUCUAGCGCAGCGUCAUCACCCUCGACGUUUCUAACCUGAUUCCCACCGUCUGGAGAGAUGCCAAGCACCCGCCACGGCCUAGGUACUUGUCACCUUUAAACCCGUCCAGCAUCACCUUCCCGAUGUACUUCAAAUAUACUAACCGGUCACUGUUACCUGUUAUGCAGCUGGCAAAAACUACAAGGACAAUGUUUCUUCUAGAUCUAACAGCUUGUCCAACCAAGAUCCUGGACUGGGGCAUUGCUAUGAUCUUGUAAGCGCGUCUCUCUCUCUUGUAUUGUUAUGUGCCUGCCUGCGUGCUUUGCUAGUAUUUUCGACCAGUAAUCCCUUUGUGCAGACAAUGAUUUCUACUACUGGCUGCUAAAUUAGAUAUGUAGAUGUCAUACAUGAUACUACCUCGUACCUCCGUUCCUAAAUAUAAGUCUUUCUAGAGAUUCCACUAUAGGCUACAUACGGAGCAAAAUGAGUGAUCUACACUCGAAAAUGCAUCUAUAUACAUCUGUAUGUGGUCCAUACUGGAAUCUCUACAAAGACAUAUAUUUAGGAACAGGGGCAGUACAUUACACAAAAUCGUAGGUGAAAUGUAGGAAUUCCAGUGCAGUACAUUAGGAUCCCUUAGAGUGCCUGCCAGUCCAGCAUACAGAGCCAUGGCUAGUUUAUGGUACACACACAAUCGUUAAUUGGUGGUUUAAAUAUGCGCAAGGGAUAUGCAAUGUAGUAUCAUGUAGAGAUGUCUGAAAUUAGCCGUGUCAACUUGCAGAUAGGGUUACACAAUGAAAAAGUACAAGAUGUAUGUGGCAAUUUCAUGGAACAUCGCAAAAAAAGGAGAGGCAGCCGUGAGCCUAUACAGUGUGCUAUGGCACGUCACUCCUCCAUUGCAAUCAUCAUGACAUGUUAUUUGUAUGCCAGUUCUAUUAGCAAAGUUUCUUAGGGACAGUUAUUACAAGUUAUCCUAAAAAUAUAAGCACCUGUGAAUAUAAGCUCCAUGGAAUACGCCAACCAGUUCUUUUCAUUGUGUUUUCAGCUUAUCUUUGGUAUGAUCAGUGGAAAGUCUAGAUUGCAUUAUAUAUAUUUUUCAUUUUGCUGCACAUAUGGAAAUUAAUUUGACUUGCAAACAUCACAAAUUGAACCCAGUGCGGUAAUUAAUAUGAUAGGAAAACAGACCAUCACUAUUUGCUCAAAAUGCAAAUACAAAGAUACCAUCUACUUGGCACAAUCUACUUUGGUCAAUCUUUUCCAUAGAGAUCCCAUUGCCUAAUUUAAACGAAGAACGCAUGACCCACAUUUAAAUGAAGAACAAUUAUUUGUUGAAAUUCGAUGGUCCAAGUGGCUGGUUAUUAUCAUAUAGCAGCAGCACCUGAAAGCAUCAUAUAGCAGCAGCAGCUCAUAGCAACUCAUCAUACAGUAGCAGCAGUCUGCAAUUCAUCAUAUACCAGCAGCAGCUCAUAGCAAUUCAUCAUAUAGCAGCAGCAGGAGCAGCUCAUAGCAAUUCAUCAUAUAGCAGCAGCAGGAGCAGCUUGUAGCAACUCAUCAUAUAGCAGCAGCAGCAGCUUAUAGCAACUCAUCAUACAGCAGCAGCAGUCUGCANNNNNNNNNNNNNNNNNNNNNNNNNNNNNNNNNNNNNNNNNNNNNNNNNNNNNNNNNNNNNNNNNNNNNNNNNNNNNNNNNNNNNNNNNNNNNNNNNNNNNNNNNNNNNNNNNNNNNNNNNNNNNNNNNNNNNNNNNNNNNNNNNNNNNNNNNNNNNNNNNNNNNNNNNNNNNNNNNNNNNNNNNNNNNNNNNNNNNNNNNNNNNNNNNNNNNNNNNNNNNNNNNNNNNNNNNNNNNNNNNNNNNNNNNNNNNNNNNNNNNNNNNNNNNNNNNNNNNNNNNNNNNNNNNNNNNNNNNNNNNNNNNNNNNNNNNNNNNNNNNNNNNNNNNNNNNNNNNNNNNNNNNNNNNNNNNNNNNNNNNNNNNNNNNNNNNNNNNNNNNNGCAGGAGCAACUUGUAGCAACUCAUCAUAUAGCAGCAGCAGCUCAUAGCAAUUCAUCAUAUAGCAGCAGCAGCAGCUCAUAGCAACUCAUCAUACAGCAGCAGCAACUCAUAGCAAUUCAUCAUAUAGCAGCAGCAGGAGCAGCUCAUAGCAAUGCAUCAUAUAGCAGCAGCAGAAGCAGCUCAUAGCAAUUCAUCGUAUAGUGGAUCAGAAUGAAAAUUUGGCAAAAAAUCAGCGGAGAUCCUCACCUUGUUGGACGAGCUCAUCCUUCAACAGCACCUCAAGUCAAUGGCCUGGGAGGAGGGGAGGGGGAACAAGGUACCUUCUGCCGCAUUGUGGCAUCAGCCAUAGUUGUGCAGCGCCCACUGGAGUAGUGCGUUGGACGAACCACAGUGGAGCAGCUGCUGGAGACCAUGAGAAUGAGGGGCGGCGCCAGAGGGAGGAGCAGCCAGGGAGAUUUUCCCCUACCCACCGGCCAUGUAGCCUAGCUGGACGUAGCAUCGUCGAGGACCAGGCCAGAUGGGACCAGUGGCGACGGCUCGCUGGAGGAACCCUAGUGCUGGAGGCGGGGGAUCGAGGUAGAGGGAAGGGGAGAGGAGAUGCAAGUGGGUAGGGCAAUGAAUGCUUGCGUGUUUGUUUUUACUUUAGGGUCAGGUGUGACACAGGCGUCAGCAGUUGCAUUUUGAGUGUAAUAUAGGCAGACAAUAGAGUCAUUUCACUAUUCCCCUUCCCUUCAAUUUUUAGUGAGGUUCUACCCGAAACACCCCCUCCAAAGCGAAAUUAGUUAAGCCCAAGCCCAUAACUCAAAAAUGACUUCUUUACAUCUUUUAUGGCUUAUUUUGACAAUAUACCCUGAAAAGGCGAAAUCGAACUGGCCCUUAACAUGCAAUUCAAUUGUGCGUGCAAUGAUGAAUCACGCCUGCCUGCUAUCUGUACAUUUAGGCAUCAUCGUACAUGGCAUAACCUAAUACAUGUGCAUUCCAUUGUAGAAUCUGGAAUAUGCAAUGUUUAUGUUAGUUCAUACGUUGCACAUGAUGUUUAAAUGCCCCUUAAAUCUGGUCAGUCAAGUGAUGGUCUUUAAGCCUCCUUCUUUGCUUCUUUUCUUGAUAUGUAAGAUUUGCUCACACAUCUGUUCAAUUGCUUGUUUGCAUCAGCCAGCCAUACUAGGACUGUUUGCUUUGAUUACUUGUUGUUCUUGACCUAACACUCUAACAGAGCUUGUCAACAAUUUAAACACUAAGGGUUGCUGUAGUGGGGCCUUGUCUAACUCAUAGGUGAAUAAAGGUUUGGCUGUACACUACAGUAGGCUCUCCAAGAGUACCUGGAGAUCCAGCUCGAAGGUAUGCCUAGUUUUUACAUAGUGCAGAUAUAGUAAAUGCUCAUUCCAUUGUGUGCAAGUGCAAGAUAUGCAGCAUGUUUCAUUAUGUGGUGUUGUUUUGUUAUAAUCUUAUCCUUUUGUGUUCACAGACUGGAAAGCAUGCAUAUUUAUCUUCCAAGGAGACGAGUAACUAGUUUGUGUCACCUUGCAGAGGGGGUGCAAUGAAGAUAAGAUUGAGGAUUUCCAAGUACAAGAUGUUAUGAAGGAGCCUUGCAAGAGAAGUUGGAGCUGCGCUGAGCCUCUUCAACCUGCUAAGGUAAGUCACUGUAUGCAACUCAACAGUUCAAUUCCUUGUUUGUUUCAGGCAUAGUUAAUUUUCUCUUUUCAAUUGCUUUAUUUGUCCUCACUUAAUGAGAUGCCCAAAUAAUUAUGCCUGAUGUUCGGUACUUGUAUCACUAUUAGUUGACAUAAUUAAAGGCCUUACCAUUUAAUUACUCUGCCGAAGUGUGUCUGAAGCUUUGAAGUCUAUUAACCAACUAUUAUUGCAUGAGGCUCACAAUCUAGUUUAUACUAUGCUAAUGAUUGCAUAGUUUUGCCUGUUGUAGUAUGUUUGUAUGAAACCCUCUGUUGUUCAUUAUGCUCCCUAAGACUUUAAUUGAGGUACAAAAUGUCCAACUGCUUUCUUACUUAUAUGCAACAUGCUGUCUAAAUUUGUAACUUGUCUGUGUUUUCGAUUGGGCCCCAACAUCAUGCUCCUCUGGUGAGCUAAGAGGGAUUUCUUUAUGCAGGCUGCACAGACUAUCCUUUUUAUAAUUUUUAAAAUAUCACCUGCUUAUGCUUCAUGACGUGUAACAUUUUUUUGUGAAAGUGACGUGUAACAUUAUUGUUAGUCCUGUUUUGCCAUGUAGUACAAAAUAGUGUCUUGUUUGCUUCACUAUUGUAACUAUAUUUUUGGCCUAGUCAUGUGUACUUAGAGAAACAUUUCAGGAUGAAGUGACAUCAACACAAAAAUCUGCGAGCAGUGCGGCAUGGCCAUUACCGAAUGAUUAUGGAUUGGAAUUGGAAUGUGCUGAUGUUCUCGAGCAUCAACUACAGGUGGCAAGACAACAUGUACAUGAUUGUCAACGUAUAAUCAACAAGUUGAGACUGGACAUGCAGGUAUUAGAUGCAGGAGUCAAAAAAAUGAAACAAGACACCGAGGUAACCAUGAAUGAAUUGGAGAUUUUGCUGACUGAAAUUUGUGCUAUUUGAAUCCGGCCAAUCCUAUUUUCUGAAGAGAUUAUAGUUCAAAUGGAGUUAAGUUGAUGCGCGUCCAUGAUGUAUGAGCCAUAUUUGCCUAGUGUAUGUAAUUUGCUGUUUGUGUAUGCUUUAUUAUCACCUGUGCCGUACCAUAAUGCCCAAUGGGUAUAAUCGGCUGUAAUUUCUUUAUUGUAUAGUGUAGGAUUAUUCUACCUUUCUAUGCCUUGAUCUCUUUGUUGUAUAGUGUAUUCUUUUUAAAGGUGAUAGUAUUGAGUAGGAUAAUUCUUUGAAUAUGCUAUAUCGUUUAAACGGGGGCCAACUCACCCGACCAUGGGCCUUCUAUGUCUCAUAGGAUCCAUGGGCCUUCUACGUCUCGUAGGAUCCAUGGGCCUUCUACGUCUCGUAGGAUCCAUGGGCCUUACGUCUCGUAGUGUCCAUGGGCCUUCUACGUCUCGCAAUGUCCAUGGGCCUUCUACGUCACAUAGGAUCCAUGGGCCGCCGACUCAUUUAUGGGUCUUGUACUGGCCUUUAAUGGGUCGUAGACGGGCCUAUAAUGGAAAUCGUACGUUUUAUUGGCUGACCAUAACGGGCCGUUAAUAGGCCGUAUUUGCUGAUGCUAUGAAAAUGGCCCAACGGACUAACGGACCACAAACGGACCGACUGUAAUGAAGGGUUGAAUUUGGCCCACAAGCAGAAAAUGACAGUAACGGGCCGUAAGUAACCGAAUGCUGCAAAUAAGCCCAAGAAUAAAUGGGCUCUGAGAAGGCCGAAAGAUAACAUGGGUUGUAAACGGCCCAACUGAAUAACGGUCCCUUAAUGGGUAUAAAGCGAUACACUAUUCAUUACGGGCCAGUUUCACCACGGGCCGUUAAUGGGUCUAAAGUAAUACACUGUUCAUCGCGGGCCAGUUUCACCACGGGCCGUUAAUGGGCCAAGAGUUACAUAGGGCCUCAUAUGGGCCGAAAGACGUCUUGGGCCAUACAUGGGCCAGAAGUGAAAGUGGGCUGGAAUCAUAUUGGAUGGCCCAGAUGACCCUACUGGGCCUAAUUCGGAUAGGGCGUAACGGGCCUUGGGUUAGCGGGUUGUAAAUGGGCUAUAUGCGAACAUGCCGCUAACAGGCUUUCCAUGGGCCGGCCCAUCACCUUUUGACCAAGUCAAACGGGCCGGCCUUUUCACAGGAAUGGGCCUCUGUUGGGUCGUGCCACGUGUCGACGUAUCAUAGGCGCCUUCUAUCCAAUGAGUGGAUGACAUCUGUCCCAACAAUGAGCCGACACAUGUUUCCUCCAGCCAAUGAUGAUUUUACACGUGGAAAAUCCCCAUUGGUCGGGGCUAUUAACGGGUUAUCGGAUCCAAAACCUGACCCAAUAGCUUAACGGUGUUCCGUUAAGGUGGAUGCCACGUGUCGGUCACCCUUGACGAAAGCACUUCUGUGACGCACGAUUUAUUGUCAUGGGAGUGGACACUUCCAUGAUGAUAAUUUUGGUAAUGUCAUCGAACACUUCUACGACAGCACAGGUAUGACUAUCUCAAUUCUGUCAUAAAUUUGUCAUGGAUGUACAUGCAUGACAAAAAAUGCGACCUACUCUGACAAAUACGUAUCAUUACGGAAGUGUAUUUUUUUUGUAGUGAUAGCAGUUGCAGGUUUAGGUGUCGCAAGCCUACUAAUAACGGAAGGAGAAUCUAGUGCAGAGCUAGAUGGCAAUUCCUUACCUCCCCUCGUAGUUGAGGGUAAAAUAGUAGUUCGGUCGUCUUUCAAGUUCUUCAUAGUGAUCAACAGAUAUAAAUACCAAGUGACUCAGAGAAUAGAGCUAUGCUCCCCGGUAACAGCGCCAUAAAUUAGUCUUGAUAACCCACACGUGUAGGGGAUCGCAACAGCUUUCGAGGGUAAAGUAUUCAACCCAAAUUUAUUGAUUUGACACAAGGGGAGCCAAAGAAUAUUCUUGAGUAUUAGCAGUUGAGUUGUCAAUUCAACCACACCUGGAUAACUUAGUAUCUGCAGCAAAGUAUUUAGUAGAAAAGGUGGUAUGAUAAUAAAGGUAACGGUAACAAAAGUAAAGAUAAAUGUUUUUGGGUUUUUGUAGUAGUUGUAACAGUAGCAACGGAAAAGUAAAUAAGCGAAGAACAAUAUGUGAAAAGCUCGUAGGCAAUGGAUCAGUGAUGGAUAAUUAUGCCGGAUGCGAUUCCUCAUGCAAUAGUUAUAACAUAGGGUGACACAGAACUAGCUCCAAUUCAUCAAUGUAAUGUAGGCAUGUAUUCCGUAAAUAGUCAUACAUGCUUAUGGAAAAGAACUUGCAUGACAUCUUUUGUCCUACCCUCCCGUGGCAGCGGGGUCCUUACGAAAACUAAGGGAUAUUAAGGCCUCCUUUUAAUAGAGAACCGGAACAAAGCAUUAGCACAUAGUGAAUGCAUGAACUCCUCAGACUACGGUCAUCACCGAGAAGUAUCCCGAUUAUUGUCACUUCGGGGUUGUCGGAUCAUAACACAUAAUAGGUGACUAUAGACUUGCAAGAUAGGAUCAAGAACACACAUAUAUUCAUGAAAACAUAAUAGGUUCAGAUCUGAAAUCAUGGCACUCGGGCCCUAGUGACAAGCAUUAAGCAUAGCAAAGUCAUAGCAACAUCAAUCUCAGAACAUAGUGGAUACUAGGGAUCAAACCCUAACAAAACUAACUUGAUUACAUGGUAAAUCUCAUCCAACCCAUCACCGUCCAGCAAGCCUACGAUGGAAUUACUCAAGCACGGCGGUGAGCAUCAUGAAAUUGGUGAUGGAGGAUGGUUGAUGAUGACGACAGUGAUGAAUCCCCCUCUCCGGAGCCCCGAACGGACUCCAGAUCAGCCCUCCUGAGAGAGAUUAGGGCUUGGCAGCGGCUCCGUGUCGUAAAACGCGAUGAAACUUUCUCUCCGAUUUUUUUAUCCCCGAACGUGAAUAUAUGGAGUUGGAGUUGAGGUCGGUGGAGGUCCAUGGGGCCCACGAGAUAGGAGGGCGCGCCCUAGGGGGGCGCCCCCUGUCUCGUGGACAGCCUUUGGGCCCCCUGGUGUUGAUUCUUUCGCCAAAAGUUCUUAUUAAUUCCAAAAGGUGCCUUUGUGGAUUUCCAGGACAUUCCAAGAACUUUUCUUUUCUACACAUAAAACAACAUCAUGGCAGUUCUACUGAAAACAACGUCAGUCCGGGUUAGUUUCAUUCAAAUCAUGCAAGUUAGAGUCCAAAACAAGGACAAAAGUGUUUGGAAAAGUAGAUACGUUGGAGACGUAUCACUGCUCAAGCCUUUUUGUGGAGAGCCACCGGCAGCUCCACCAGCGCUUCCUCCGACCGCCAAUGGACGUCUUCUUCCGGAGCCACAGAAGGUGUUGAAGGCGCAAGUUCGUCCCGGGUGUGGUUCGUCUUGAUCCAGUGGGCAGGUCUUCUGGUGGAGGAGGCUACUUGGGAGCCACGUGAGGACUUCUGCCACCACUAUCCAGACUUUCAGCUCGAGGACAAGUUGUUUGUGCAGGCGGGGAGAGAUGUUAUGACCGGUUUACAGUAUAACCAGAGGAGGCCCGCUGGGCAGUAGAUUAGGGGCUUGGCCCACAAGUUAUCUUAGGCUAGUCAUUUUGAGGUUAUAAAUAUUAGAUUGUAAGAUACCUUUUUCAGAUUAAGCAAUAAAGAUAGUUCUAUCAUAUUAUCCGGCUCCACAGGAGCCGGAAACCCUAGCCGCACCUUGCCCUAGCCGCCGCCGUCUUUCUUCUUCCUCAUGACGGCGCCAACACACCGGAGCCGCCGCCCUCGCCCCCAACCAUCGCUAUCCUGCCCCUACAACCUAAGGAACCGAGUCGGUAGGAACCCUAGUCCUACCAGAUUCAUUCUCUUUCAUCAGUCAUUUUAGAAUUCUUAUGGUGGUUCAUUCAAGAUUCUUUUUCCUUGAUUAUCAUUUUAAUUCAUUCAUUCUUUUCAAUCCUACCGGUGGUUCAUGAAGACCUUCUCAAGUUUGCGACAUGUCACUUCUCAAUCCUUUUCAACAAGAAUAAGUAGUAUGCAAAAAUUUGUUUAUCAUCAAUUAAAUUUGGUGAAGGAUAAGCAUACAAUAAAUCUUAUUCUUAUUCCAUCCAAGUGAGUAAUCCCUUCCUUCAGAGUUUGUUCUUGAUGAAUAAAUUCUAGUUCCAAGUGUUUUCAUCUUUUCUUUUCCGGAGUUCAAAUUUCCUCGCCCAUUUCGUCGAAACCUCCAUCUAAAUCACCGCAAGGCUCAUCUUAUUCUUUCUUCCUCCAUUCUAUCUCAUCACCCUUUUGUCACCGGAGUUCUUCUUGGUGGUUCUUCAUGAUUUAAUUCAUUCUUUAAGAGUUCAUCAAGAUUAUUGUUGGAGGAGCACAAAUAUCUUUUCCUCUUGCGUCUCGAAGUGCAAUUAAUUCUCCGUAUUCCUUUUGAAGUGGAGUUUUGCAUUUCUUCAUUCUUCUCAACUAUUCACACUCUUGAUUGUGGCAGAAUUUCACCUCAAGUUUUGAGAUGUUUUUGAUAAGUCCACAACAAGCUUAUUCUUUUGUUGUUGAUUUUCUCAACAACUCCGUUCAACCCUUCCUUCUAAAUUCUUUUCAUUCAAUUCUCUCAAUUCUUCCGGAGACAUUGUGUUGCUUAUGUCGUCAAGUGUCAUCCCAUCUUGUGAAGUUCAUGUUCCAUUCCUUCCAUUUUCAGUAGGAGUAUUGCCCAAAUUCUUUUAUUCAUUCCUUUUCUAUCUUGUUCUAAUCGGAGUGGUUUCAGAGUUUGUCUUCUUCUUGAGCUUUUCAUUCUCGUCAUAUUCGCCGUUCAUUUUUUCUAACCGAGUGUUCUCGACUUUGUUCAUCUUCUCUCUUGUGUUCUUACUUCACCUCUUCCUCUUUCUUUUCCGUCUCGUUCCUAAGAUCUCGAGACGAGAUCUCUUGUUAGUGGAGGAGUGUUGUAACGCCCCGGAUCCGGUGUGCCAGGUGUCUUCCAGUUAUUCGCCUUCGUUGCCAUGUCAUUUGCUUGUGUGUUGCAUUUUGCCAUGUCAUCAUCUGCAUUUCAUCUGCAUGUUUUCCAAAACUUGCAUCCGUUCAGGUUCCCCUGGUUCUCUCCAUUGUCCGUUCGGAGUACAUACCUCUCGCGCACGCUCGUCGCCUCUCUCAGACCUUGUUUCAUGAGCGGGGGGGAUGCUCUCGGAAUGGGAUGAAACUUGGCGUGCGGUGUUGUUUUAGAGUAGGUAGACCGCCUGCCAAUUUUCGUUCCAUUUGGAGGUCGUUUGAUGCCCCAACGGUUAACCGCGUAGCUCGAAAUCCCCUUCUCUUUGCAGCCUAGCCCCUCUUCACCACAGCCCAUGAGCCCAUCCAAACCCCCUCCAUGCUCUCGGUCGUUCGAUCACGAUCGUGUGGGCGAAAACCGCACCCCAUUUGGACACUCCUAGCUCCCUCUACCUAUAAAAACACAUCCUCUCCCGAAUUUUGCGAAUGAAUCAUACCCUAACCCUAGCCUCUUCCUCCUCUCGCCGCCGGACGUGUCCACCCCAUGUCGGACGUGUUCGCCCGCCGACGCCGCCUCCUCCUCUCAGCGCCUCCGCCCGCUACCCUCGACUAGCCACCGCCCGAAGCUCCCCGCCGCCUCCUCGCUUGUCGGGCUCAGGCGUCGCCCGCGCACCGUCCCUUGCCGGCUUGCUCUGCCUCGCGCCGGUCCCCUCCGGCCUGGAUCCUGCGGGAUCCGGCCGGAUCUCGCACCACCCGGCCACCUCGACCUCCCCGACGGCCUCCUCCGCCCGCGUCUCCGGCCGCCAUCGUCAACUCCGGCGAGGUCCGUGGAUCGGGAUCAGAUCCACCACCUCAACGAUCCAAACGCCUCCCCCACGCCCUGGAGCCCUCCGUCCCGCUCGUCCUUGUCUCGGGUUGACUUUUUGCGAGGGUAAAUUUCCACUAUCAUUUUUCUGUGAUAUUUUUAUGCCCUGUUUGUCAUCCCAUAACUUCAUGUGUGCUACAUUGUUUCAUGCAUAUGUUAUAUCAAAAUGUUCAUUGGGAGAUACUCUUUAUUUCAUUCCAUUGUCCCAUGCUUGUUUGAGUUCAUCUUAAUUCCCUUAUCAUCGUUGCAAGAGUGGUAUAUGAUGUUAACUGUUGUCUGUUACCAGAACUUGCUGUUUUGUCUUUUUCAUUGCAUUUUGUGUGUGCAUCCUAUGAGCUUGAUGUCUACAUGAGUUUUGAGCUACAUCAUGUCAUAUUUACAAUGGUUCAAUCCAUGUAUUUUUGUGAGUCUUGUAGUGAGUGCACCGAGCUUGUGAAGUAGGGUACUUGCUGUUACUGUUUUGCUAGGCUGAAUCUGCUAUAUCAUGAUGCUAUGUAGACUUGUUGCUACAAGUCAUUCUAUGCAUAACCUGGAGAUGUUCACUAAGGAUGUUUUGAUUUACAUGUCAUGCUCUAUCCAACCAUGACCCUUGUCGCAUUUAUAGCCUGCUGUAGCUUGUUGUAAUCUUGCUCCAAACUUGCUAAACAAUGUUGCUGUCAGCUUGUUAACAUUAUGUUCAGUUUUGGCCAUGUGUUUUGCUAGUGAUCCAUGCACCCUAUGAACUUGCUCUUACCAUUCUUCGCUUUAUAAAUAUGUCUUAUUACUGUUGGUCACCUUGUCAUGACAUGUGUUGCUCUGUGGUGAGUUGUACAAGCUCACCAACAUUCCUACUUAUUGUUGUUCCUGCCAUGUACUGCUAUCCUGAAUCUGUCAUAUCAUUUGCCAUGUUUGUAUGGAUGCUACCAUCUUUUCUGUUGAUAUUUGGAAUUAGUUCAGUAACGGAGAUUUGUUCUUUGUCUUUAUUAUUAGCAUUCCAUGCAUUUGUUUGCCAUGUUUAGUUUCUGUAACAUGUUGUUUGAUAGCUCUAAAAAUUGCAACCUGAUGUUAUUUCUGCCAUGUCCAGUGAUUUCUGCUAAGUCUGUGAACUGUUAUUAUUUGCAAUCUUGCCAUGACCUUUUGAGCAUGUUCUAGUGAUUUCUGGAGAUAUCUCAGUGUUCAUGUUUUGUCAUGCUUUACAUGUACAUAAUGCCCAUGCCUUUUGUUCUUAUGUUGAGCUGCUGUAGCAUAUUUGUUUGAUGCUUGCUAGAUGCCUAUUUGUUGUUUUGGACAGCUUGUCCUUUAAACUUGUUUCAUGUGUAUGUGUUAAACCGUUGCUCCGUUUUGAGUGUGCUCUAUAUGAAACUUGCUUGGAAUUUCAUGUAGUUUCAUAUUAUCAUGUUGCAUCCUUGUUUUGAGGUGUUUGCUUGAUGUUUGGAUGUAUUUUGCAUCAAUGUCAUGUUUAACUUGUUUUGCUCAUAUCUUCUAGGCCGUAGCUCCGAACUAAAUGAACUUUAUAUGUAACUUGACUAGAAUUUCGUGUAGAUCAUCUUGGUGCAUCUUAACUUGCUGUUUAACAACUCGAACAUAAGGUUUAUUCAGAUCUGGACCAAUUCCUAAAUUUGCAUAUGAGGACUUGCCGGAUUUGUUAUAUGUUGUUUCUGGCCUCAUUUAAACUUGCUUUGAUGUGUUGCUCUUGUAUGCAUCAUCUCUUGCCAUGAGUAGCCUCAUAUAGCCUUUGUCAUGCAUAAUGUUUGGUUGUGUGUCAUGCCAUGUCUAUGUGUUGUGUGUUUACCUUGUUGUUUGCUUCUUUCCGGUUGUGCUCCUUCUCGUUAGUUCCUGUUUUGUUGCGAUCGUGAGGAUUCGUUCGUCUACGCUUGGUUCGUCUUCGUGGCUUCAUCUUCUUCAUGGACUCGUUCUUCUUCCUAGCGGGAUUUCAGGCAAGAUGACCGUCACCUUGGAUCUCACCACUAUCAUUGCUAUGCUAGUUGCUUCGUUCUAUCGCUAUGCUGCGCUACCUAUCAUUUGCUCUUCAAGCCUCCCAAAUUGCCAUGUCAGCCUCUAACAUUUUCACCCUUCCUAGCAAACCGUUGCUUGUCUAUGUUACCGCUUUGCUCAGCCCCUCUUAUAGCAUUGUUAGUUGCAGGUGAAGUUGAAGAUUGCUCCAUGAUGGACAUGAUUAUGUUGGGAUAUCACAAUAUCUCUUAUUUAAUUAAUGCAUCUAUAUACUUGGUAAACGAUGGAAGACUCGGCCUUAUGCCUGGUGUUUUGUUCCACUCUUGCCGCCCUAGUUUCCGUCAUACAGGUGUUAUGUUCCUUGAUUUUGCAUUCCUUACGCGGUUGGGUGAUUUAUGGGACCCCCUUGACAGUUCGCUUUGAAUAAAACUCCUCCAGCAAGGCCCAACCUUGGUUUUACGAUUUGCCUACCUAAGCCUUUUUCCCUUGGGUUUCCAGAGCCCGAGGNNNNNNNNNNNNNNNNNNNNNNNNNNNNNNNNNNNNNNNNNNNNNNNNNNNNNNNNNNNNNNNNNNNNNNNNNNNNNNNNNNNNNNNNNNNNNNNNNNNNNNNNNNNNNNNNNNNNNNNNNNNNNNNNNNNNNNNNNNNNNNNNNNNNNNNNNNNNNNNNNNNNNNNNNNNNNNNNNNNNNNNNNNNNNNNNNNNCGGGGGCCAGUGCUCCUUCGAGUGUUGGUCCGAACUAGAGCCACUUGCAGCGCCACCUCGGGGAAACUUGAGGGCUGGUUUUAGUUGUACAUAGUGUUCAUCCGGUGUGCCCUGAGAACGAGAUAUGUUCAGCUCCUAUCGGGAUUUGUCGGCACAUCGGGCGGCUUUGCUGGUCUUGUUUUACUAUUGUCGAAAUGUCUUGUAAACCGGGAUUCCGAGACUGAUCUGGUCUUCCUGGGAGAAGGAAUAUCCUUCGUUGACCGCGAGAGCUUGUGAUGGGCUAAGUUGGGACACCCCUGCAGGGUAUAAACUUUUGAGAGCCAUGCCCGCGGUUAUGUGGCAGAUGGGAAUUUGUUAAUAUCCGGUUGUAGAUAACUUGACGCCAGAUACGAAUUAAAACGCAUCAACCGCGUGUGUAGUCGUGAUGGUCUCUUUUCAACGGAGUCCGGCAAGUGAACACGGUUUUGGGUUAUGUUUGGCGUAAGUAGGAGUUCAGGAUCACUUCUUGAUCAUUGCUAGCUUCACGACCAUUUCGUUUGCCUCUCUUCUCGCUCUUAUUUGCGUAUGUUAGCCACCAUAUUUGCUUAGUCGCUGCUGCAACCUCACCACUUAUCCUUUCCAUUCCCAUUAAGCUUUGCUAGUCUUGAUACCCAUGGUAAUGGGAUUGCUGAGUCCUCGUGGCUCACGGAUUACUACAACAACAGUUGUAGGUGCAGGUUAUGCGAUGAUCAUGACGCAAGAGCAAUGUUUAGUUGUUUGGAGUUCUUCUUCUGCUUCUUUGAUCAGGGGAUAGGUUCCAGGUCGGCAGCCUGGGCUAGCAGGGUGGAUGUCAUUUGAGUUUCUGUUUGUGUUUCAUCCGUAGUCGGAUGUUGAUCUUACGUAUGAUGUAUUGAUGUAUUCUUGCGGCAUUUGUAUGCCUUGUAUGUAUCCCCAUCUUUUAUGUAAUGUUGAUGUAAUGAUAUCCACCUUGCAAAAGCGUCUCAAUCUGCGGUUCUAUCCUUGGUGGGACCUUCGAGUUUCUUUAGGAUAGUAUCGCAUAUUGGGCGUGACAGAAGGGGGAAUGAGCGAGACAGAUGCUAGGGUUUUGGUGGAUGCCUUUGUAGGCCGAGGGGGGCACGUGGAGGCCAUCCACGUCCAUGGUGCCAUGGAUGCACGCCACGCCCAGGCCUCUGCCUCCCCACAGUACAGAGGUGGGGGAGAGGCUGUCGUGGGCUGGGCUUUGGGGCACUGUGGACACUUGAGCCCAUAUGCACAAUAGUUCAUGUCCUUUUCCUUUUAUUCUUUUACAUUUUUGUUUUAUUUAUUUCUUUUCUACUUUGCAUUUUAUUUUAAAACCAAUUGACUUUUGUUGAAUUUGAAAAUUGGCACAUAAAUAUGAGACAACAUUUUGAGCCAUCACAAAUAGUUUCAAUUUAUCUUGAAAUGUUUAACUAUUUGUUUAAAUCAAAAAAGCUCAAUUUAAUAGUGUUAGUUCUGUUUUAAAUGAAGAUAAGGGAGUUUUAAUAAGAAGAAGAAAUAUUGGUUUCUUCAUGAAAAUUAGUUAGUGAAUAAUUGCAACCCAACGAACAUUUUAAAUUUACUUUUUGAAGAAUUACAAAUUUGACUUGUAUUUAAAUUUGAAUUUGACUUAGGUUUUAACAAGGAGAGAUUAAGCUUAGCAAAAUGGGAUGGUGUGGCAUCAUUAGUCAGGUAUUCAUUGCAGCAUAAUUAUCGGGGUGUUACACCUGCAUUCAGCGGGCCAUAAUUGGGCCGGCCCGCAACAAGCUGUACUAGGGCCUGCUGCGGAGCUGCUGUAUGGGCCCUUCAUAGACACUGUAUGACUAGGCUCAUAACUCUAAUGGGCCUUUAGCAUGCCCAAAUUUAGUUCAGCCGAUGUAGCUUUGGAUCAUUAACAAGCUGAAUAUUCUGCUGGCAUGUGUUGGCCCAAAAGACACCAUGGGCCUUUAGCAGGCCGAGAAGCAUGUUGGGCCUCAAUUUUUAAGAGUAGUCCAUGGGCCUUUAGUAGGCUGAAAUAAACAUCGAGCCAAUAUAGGCCUAGUUACAUUACGGGUCAUUAUCAGGCCGAAACAUACCUCGGGCCUUGGUUUUCCCAAUCAUCUCAUAGGCCUUUAGUAGGCCAAAAGCUCUGUAGAGGCACCAACGGGCCGAAAUGUAAGACACGCCUUUAAUAGUCCCAAAGUCAGGUUGGGCUGAAGUGUUGCCACCGAGAUCACGGGUCAUUAACCGGCCAAAUGUCACGUCAGACCAUAAAUGGUCCAUGUGCAACACAGGCCAUUACCAGGCCAAAAGACACACCAUGCUGAAAUGGGCCAUUUCUACAUCGGGACUCUAACAGGCCGAAAACACAUUGGGCCAUAAUGGGGUCCAAAGACUAAGCGAACAAUUAAUGGGCCGGAUUUGGUGGUGGGCCAUAAAUGGGUCAACCCACUAGUACCUGAGCGAAGCUUAUGGGCCUUUGACUGGGCCAGCCUUUUUAACCUAAAUGGGCCAAUGUUGGGUCGUGCCACAUAUCAUUUUUUCAUAGGCCCAUCUCGUCCAAGGAUGAAUGACAUCCAUCGUGACGUCGAACUUAUACGUGGUUCCUUUGGCCAAUGAGAAUUUUACACGUGAAAAAUUGCCCUUGGCCUGGGCUGUUAGCGGGUUAUCGGAUCCAAAACCAGACCCGAGAGUUUAACGGUGACCCAUUACAGUGGAUGCCACGUGUCGGUUACCCUUGGCAAAAGCACUUUGAUGACGCACCAUUUAUCAUCAUGGAAGUGGACACUUCCGUGAUGAUAAUUUGAGUAUUGUCAUGGAACACUUCUACGACAACACAUGUAUAACUAUCUUGAUUCCGUCAUAAAAUCGUCACGAAUGUACAUGCAUGACAGAAAACAUGACCUACUAUGACAAACACGUAUCAUCACAGAAGUGUUUUUUUGUAGUGGUGUGUGCUGGCACUGCUCCUCAACAGAAAGCAAGAGAAGGUAUUGUUUUCAAGAUGGCCUAAGGUAUGAGCGCAGUCAGUCGUACCAACCUUGACUUCAGUGACAGGUUUGAAAAAUAAGAGCUUGUGGCGACCAGUGGCACAAGCAGUGAUACGCCUGCACGCGGCCGUACCAAAGGUCAUCGAUCGAUAUUUUUUCUUGAUUCUUUCCGGAUUUUGUUUUGAUUUUCUUCUAACUUCGUCUCUAAGAUUGAUCCUCUAACCAUUAUUUAAGGCCAAGGGUUACGUCCCUUCACUCAAUAUCAAUCUAAUCUCGAGUCCUUUUUGCAUGACACCUCUUCACCAAACCUUGUUCUACAAGAUAAACAAACCGGUCACCGCCAUGAGAAAUGGAUCUUCCCCAACUUCCAUCAAGAUCAUCUCCUUCCCAAGCUUGGAGGAGGUCGUCCUGAUGGGAUGGGAGGAUCCUAGAAAAAUGAGCCUAAAGGAGGAGAUGCCGGAGGAGGUGGAGACUAGCAAGGGGAAGAUCAUCGAGGAAGAGAAGGAAAAGAAGAAGAAGAAGUUUAACAUCCGAGGAUCUAUUCAUCUAUCUCCUCUUGGGCCGGAACCACGUGAGUGGGGAAAGGAACAGCCGUCCCCUGACGCGAUAAGCGGAAAGAUCAAGCAGCUCGAGAAAGUCUCUAAGGCAUGACUUGACACUAUUGGUGAGGGGAUCGAUUCUUAUUGGAUGAUUAGCAAAGACAUGAAAGGUAGGGUCGACGGUCUCUUCCAUACCAUAGAGGGUUGGGUGGUGGAGAUAUUUGGGAUCAACCAAACUCGUAAUUUCAUAACACUCUAAAUGUGGUUGUGCUCAACUUUCAAGUGAUGUAGACUGUUAGAUCCACAUAGUUUGACAACUAAGAUAGCUUGGAAUUGACCAAUUUUUGCUUUUGUGUAAUUUAUAUAAAAAUAGUAUUUGUAUCAUCAAACUUGCAAGUUUAAUCAUCAGUGGAACUUAACGUAAUAAGGUAAGGGCAUCUACUUCUUUUAGUCAUCCUUGAAACUCCACUAAAACACAUUUGUAUCACAAACUUCCAUGCUUUAUUCCCAUUUAUUUUUGUCAGCAAAAAAAUUAAAAAUUACUAUUACAAGUUUCAAUAGUACAGCCACAAUAGAGCAUAGUACCAACGCAAGUGAGACCUGGAUUUGUAGGAUCAUUGCAAAUAAAUUCGUAGCAACAAGUUUUUUGUGCACAACUUCUGCAUGGUGUGCACCGUCUUGAAACGGUUCUUUGAGGCAAAUAGGUCCCUUGGACAAUUGUCUUCCUGUCACGUACUGAGUUGUCAGUUGCGACACUUUCUGUUGCUCCUGUUCAUCAUGCACAUCAUAUAUUUAUGUUAAUUUGAAAUAUAAUGAUAAACGGCAGUGGCAUCUCUUUUUAUAGCAUGAGAAUCUAAAUAAGAACUCAUAAGUCCAACCAACAGAACUCCAUUUUUUUACUCAUUUUUGUGUGCAAGAAUAUAUAUACCCCGUUUUAGCGGAUUGUCUAAGUACACAGCGACUUUUUCUAGAUAUAUUCAUGCUUAAUAAAUAUAAAGUUAACAUUUCUUAAGCAAUAAAUGGUAAGUGAUUACCAAACUUUAUGAACAUUGAGCAACAUGUAAAUAACCAUGGGUGUACAAUGUUUGAACUUUGUCAGCCUGUAUAAUAAUAGGUUUUGCUUGGCCUUUUAGGCUAUUAUUAUUACUAAUCUACCAUAAAAGAUGUUAAAACUCGAGAUUUUUGUACCAGUAGCGGAUAUGUAGAUGAGGGUACCUAGUACUUGCAUAAGGCAUAUUUGAACCAAAUAUUCCACGCCUUAUGUCUAUAUUGGGGUAGGAUUGAUAUACGAAUUUGGUAAAAGUCCACUUCUUUUUGUAGAUCUAUCACUCCACCAAUAUGAUGUCUAUACAUACCUUGGGCUUGGAAGUGGACACUGAGAAUAGAAAGGAUGACAAGGGUGACAAACAUAUGUGAGUAUGUCGCCAUGGGUAUCUAAUAAGAGAGAUCACUUCGGGGUUUGUUUUGUGCUCUGAAUGGGUAGAAACAUUGGACGGGUGAGGAAAAUAUAUAGGCGGGUGUAGAUGCAUAUCAAGGCAUGCAUUUAUGAUAUUAUUAAUUUAAUUAAUUUGUUGGCAUUAAAUCCCUUCUUGAGAUAUUGCGUUCCUUCCUACUCGGUGCAGGAUAUUGCAUUUUGGAGCAAGUAUUCAUUGCCCACAUUUAUAUUCUCUGAUCUUUCUCUGAUACUAAGAUAAACGUAACCAGAAAAAAUUGGGAGCUAUACAUUUAAUCUCGACAAUGCAGUGGUUGGAUGGUUAGGUCGACAGUGGUAUCUAGGGUUGAAGUCCUGGUGCUCGCAUUCAUUCCUGGAUUUAUUUCAGGAUUUUCGGCGAUGCGUGUUUAGUGGGAGGAGACGUUCCCGUCGACUACAAGGCCCCUUUGUGACUUCGUCAAUCUCAGAAUGAUAUACCGGUUUAGUCUCUCGGAGGUGCUCAUAGAUAUAGGGUGCGCGUGUUUAUUCAUAGGGAUGAGUGUAUACGUGUAUAUAUGAGCAUUUGCGUUUGUAUUGUGUUAAAAACAAUGCACUCUAAGAGGCUCUACCAUUUUGUUUUAUUUUUAUGGUAGACUGUAGCAUUUAGACUGGUAGGCAAGUUACCUGUCAUAUAUUUUAUGCACUAAGACCUUGAGAUCUAUGGGCUGACUAUUUAAUUAUUAAUGCAAAUCAUAAGAAAAGGUAUGGAGCAUGCUGGGAACCCUCAGGGGCAUGAUAUGGUUAGAAUGACUAGUGGACCCGUUGUGUCAAAUGGCGCAGAUGCGCGCUAGUACGUGAUGAAAAAUAUAUUCAUGAUUUAAUCCCCUUUAAUAGGAAACACGGCGGAUUGUUAUCUAUAAUGANNNNNNNNNNNNNNNNNNNNNNNNNNNNNNNNNNNNNNNNNNNNNNNNNNNNNNNNNNNNNNNNNNNNNNNNNNNNNNNNNNNNNNNNNNNNNNNNNNNNNNNNNNNNNNNNNNNNNNNNNNNNNNNNNNNNNNNNNNNNNNNNNNNNNNNNNNNNNNNNNNNNNNNNNNNNNNNNNNNNNNNNNNNNNNNNNNNNNNNNNNNNNNNNNNNNNNNNNNNNNNNNNNAUUUUUUCUUCUCAGAAACGAAAAGUCCUUCUCCUUUAACCCUAUCUCAGCAGAGACAAUGAUCCCCACCGCGGGAGCUAUUUCUCGCAUUCAGCGAGCCUAAACACUUCUCUGGCUGAAUCAUUCCGACUAAUCGAGCUGGCCUACUAGCGCACAGUAAAUAAAAAAAACUAUGAAUUGAAGCAUUCCAACUAAUCGGGUCGGACCACUAGCGCACAGUACACAUAAAAACUUUGAAGAAAAUGGAUUCGAACCGUGCUUGCUUCGAUCAAGAGUAGAGGCCACUCUGAACUUAGUGUUCACAUACGAGGUGCACUCUACUUGAGGUAAAACACCGGAGUUUGUUUUUAUUUCUCUAGUUUUCCUCUCUUUUUUUGUUUCUUUGUUUGGUUUUCUUAUUUUUCUCCGGUUUUCUUUCAUUAGCCAUUAUAAUUCGGUCCUUUUUUUUGUUUUUUCCAUUGAUUUUCUGUUUUCAAUGCUUUUCUCCGUUUUCUUUUCUUUUUCCCUUUUUUUCUCUGGUUUUUGUUUUGUUUUCAUUUUUUAUUCUUUCUACAUUUGUUUAUUCAGUUCUUUUUAAUUUGUGGGGGUUUAGUUUGUUUGUUUUUUGUUUUUGGUUUUUGGUUUUCUUUCGUUUCUUUUGUUUUUUAUUCUACAUUUUUUGUAUGUCAAAAACAUUUUUUAAUAAGUGAUCAACAUUUUUGUUAUACACGUUCAACAUUGCCUGAACGUUUAAUCAACAUUUUUCAAAUACUAGUUCAACAUUUUAAUACUUAUUCAACACUUUUUAAUACUCGUUCAACAUUUUUUAAUACUUACUCAAUAUUUUUUAAUACUUAUUCAACAUUUUUCAAAUACUGGUUUAACAUUUUUCAAAUACUCGUUCAAAACAAUUUAUACUUGUUCAACAUUUUUCAAUACUUUUUCAAUAUUCUCAAAUACUUGUUCAUCAUUUUUCAAAUUCUUGUUUAACAUUUUCUUAUAUUUAUUCAACAUUUUCAAAUGCAGGUUUAACAUUUUUCAUAUACUCAUUCAAAAAAAUUAAUACUUGUUCAACAUUUUCUAAUACUCGUUCAACAUUUUUCAAAUUCUUGUUCAACAUUUUCUAAUACUUAUUCAACAUUUUUCAAAUACUUGUUCCACAUUUUAUAAAAAAAAUCAACAUUUUUCAAUACUUGUUCAACAUUUCUUAAAUACAUGAUCAGCCUUUUUCAUACACAUUUGUAUUUUACUGUAUAACUUUUGUGCAUAGAUUAAAACGAUUUUCAUGUAUGCACUCAAAAUUUAUUAUCAAAUGCUUAGUUAACAUUUUUUAAAUGUUUUUUACUUUAAUUGACAGUUAGUUCAUCAUUUCUCAGUCUGUUGAUACAUCACGUCCUAGGUCGAUGGUGCGAUGGCUAGCAUCAGGCGCUCCUCGCGAAGCGAGCAGGGUUCGAAUCUAGUUCCUGUUUUCUCUUAGGCCAACUCCAGCGCGCGACCCCAUCUUGUUCGGGUGCGUCUGUUCGGGGUAGAAUGGAUGAAUAGCGCGGCCCUAAACGGUCAAAUGUCUGGAUUUCGUUCGUUUUCGACCCAUUCCCGACCCAAACUGGCGCCGAGUUUGGGGUGAAACGGACAUCACGCGGACGGGCUCGACGCACGCCCUUGACCCCCGUAGCCCGUCUGUCAGGGACACUAGCAGUCUCUUCGCUUCCAACGCCUCCACCAGCUCCCCCCCACCCUGCCGCCGGCGCCGCCACUAUUCUUCAGCCGCCUCCUCACUGCUCACCCCUCCCACCGUCCAUACCAAACCACGUCUCGACAUGACCGCCAUCAAACCAGUACAACAAGGGAUACUACCUAGCUGAUGGUAUAUAUCCUCAGUGGUCAACUUUUGUGAAGACAAUCUCAAACCCCCAAGGUGAGAAGAGAAAGAGAUUUGCCUAAAUGCAAGAGAGUGCUAGAAAGGAUGUGGAACGUGAUUUUGGUGUGCUUCAAUCCCGAUGGGGUAUCGUUCAAAACACUGCACUGACAUGGGAUGAAGGGAAACUUUGGGAGGUGAUGACUGCUUGUGUGAUCAUGCACACCAUGAUCGUCGAGGACGAGCAUGAUGACAGGAUCUUCGACCAAGUAUUUGAUUUUCAAGAUGAAAAUGUUGAGCCCCUGCACCAAGAACCGGCCACAUUUGAACAGUUUGUCCAUUUUCAUCUUGAAAUGCGUGAUUAGCACACUCAUUUGGAUCUUCAAAAUGACUUGGUUGAGCAUGCGUGGACUCACGUUGGCAACGAAUAGAUGUAUUGAUUCAUUAUGUUCAUUCAAGACAAUUUUAUUUGGUUGUAAAAUAUUUUAUUAGAGACAAUUUCGAUUGUGUUGUAAAACUAUUUUUAUUUUCAGACAAUUAAUAUUUGGACAUGCAAACUUGUUUUGAACAUUGAAAUAUGAAUAUAUGGGCAUUUUUGGCUGUGGCGGACAAGAUGGGGCCGAAGGAUGCGUCCGCGCGCUGGGCGCACGGCCACCGCAUCCCAGGACAGACCCGGGCACGACCCCAUUGCCCUACCCAAACGGACAGAAUCCGGGCAAAAUGGAUGUCCGUUUGGGUCGUGCGCUGGAGUUGGCCUUAUACAACUCAUUGCUUUUAAUUUCCUAUUGAUAAUUUAGAUGGUUCAUAUUUUUAAAACCAAAAAUUAAAUUUUGAAACUUUUUAUAUAUUUGAACUCAUGAUUUCAAGAUCUUUAGAACAAGCUUAAUUUUGGAUAUUUUUUAACAUGUUCGAAUCCAUUUAUUUCACACAAUAUGUUUCAAUUAUUUCAGAAGAACUAUUUAUUUCAAUUAUUUUGAACCACUAAUUUCCAUUGAUUUUCUGAAAUACAAUUUCAAUCAUUUCACUCGUUGUAAAACGCCUAUUUCACACAUUAGAAACAUAUAUUUUCAGUUGUUCCAAAAGAAUUGGCUCCCUAACUUCUGAAAACCGAUUUCACUCAUUUCGAAAAGUUCAUUUCUUUAUGUUCAGAAAAUCAAUUUCACUCAUUAGAAGAAACUGAUUUCACUCAUUUUACAAACAUGUUUAACCUAGUCAAAACACUGGUUUCACUCAUUCCAAAAAAUAUAUUUAAAUCGUUUCAAAACGGUUGAUUGCACUAAAUUAAAAAAAACAUUUCACUCAGCUUAAUGAGAAUGAUUUCACUCAUUUCAAAAAUUGAUUUUAAUCAUUUUAACAAACAUGUUUCACUCAUUCAAAACACUGGUUUCACUCAUUCCAAAAUAUAUAUAUAAAUAAUUUAAUACGGUUGAUUCACUAAAUUGGAAAAAAAUAUUUCACUUAGCCUAAUAGAAUGAUUUCUAUUAUUUAAAAAAAGAUUUCACUCAUUUCAAAAAGUGAUUUCACUCAUUUUAACAAACAUGUUUCACUCAUUCAAAACACUGGUUUUACUCAUUCCAAAAAGUAUGUUUCAUUGUGUUCAAAAAACAGAUUCCGCUCAUUCGAAAAACUUGUUUCACUCGUUUCAAAAGUUGGAUAUAACUUAUUUAAAAAUGGUAGAUUUCAGUAAUUCGAAAAAAUGAUUUCACUCAAUUUAACAGACAUCACUACUGGAAUCAGAAGAUUUGUCGUCUGUCCCCUCUUUGCCGUCACCUAGCGGACGACAAAGAACGGCUUUGCCAUCAGCCACCGGAAAGCAGACGGCCAAGGAAGGCUUUGCCAUCAGCCAACAUUUUGCCGUCCGCUAGCUAACAGCAAAGAUUCUUUGUCGUCCGGUAGCUGACGGCAAAGAGGGUGUUUGGCCCACUGGAUGUUAAGCCCUAACAGGCCCCCUCUUUGCCGUCCGCCAGCAGAUGACAGAGCGUCCAUUGCCCUUAGCUUGCAGACGGCAAAGACGACAUGGAUCCGGUGUGCCAGGUGUCUUCCAGUUAUUCGCCUUCGUUGCCAUGUCAUUUGCUUGUGUGUUGCAUUUUGCCAUGUCAUCAUCUGCAUUUCAUCUGCAUGUUUUCCAAAACUUGCAUCCGUUCAGGUUCCCCUGGUUCUCUCCNNNNNNNNNNNNNNNNNNNNNNNNNNNNNNNNNNNNNNNNNNNNNNNNNNNNNNNNNNNNNNNNNNNNNNNNNNNNNNNNNNNNNNNNNNNNNNNNNNNNNNNNNNNNNNNNNNNNNNNNNNNNNNNNNNNNNNNNNNNNNNNNNNNNNNNNNNNNNNNNNNNNNNNNNNNNNNNNNNNNNNNNNNNNNNNNNNNNNNNNNNNNNNNNNNNNNNNNNNNNNNNNNNNNNNNNNNNNNNNNNNNNNNNNNNNNNNNNNNNNNNNNNNNNNNNNNNNNNNNNNNNNNNNNNNNNNNNNNNNNNNNNNNNNNNNNNNNNNNNNNNNNNNNNNNNNNNNNNNNNNNNNNNNNNNNNNNNNNNNNNNNNNNNNNNNNNNNNNNNNNNNNNNNNNNNNNNNNNNNNNNNNNNNNNNNNNNNNNNNNNNNNGUAGGUAGACCGCCUGCCAAUUUUCAUUCCAUUUGGAGGUCGUUUGAUGCCCCAACGGUUAACCGCGUAGCUCGAAAUCCCCUUCUCUUUGCAGCCUAGCCCCUCUUCACCACAGCCCAUGAGCCCAUCCAAACCCCCUCCAUGCUCUCAGUCGUUCGAUCACGAUAGUGUGAGCGAAAACCGUACUCCAUUUGGACACUCCUAGCUCCCUCUACCUAUAAAAACACAUCCUCUCCCGAAUUUUGCGAAUGAAUCAUACCCUAACCCUAGCCUCUUCCUCCUCUCGCCGCCGGACGUGUCCACCCCGCGUCGGACGUGUCCGCCCGCCGCCGCCGCCUCCUCCUCUCAGCGCCUCCGUCCGCUACCCUCGACUAGCCGCCGCCCGAAGCUCCCCGCCGCCUCCUCGCUCGUCGGGCUCCGGCGUCGCCCGCGCACCGUCCCUUGCCGGCUUGCUCUGCCUCGCGCCGCUCCCCUCCGGCCCAGAUCCUGCGGGAUCCGGCCGGAUCUCGCACCACCCGGCCACCUCGACCUCCCUGACGGCCUCCUCCGCCCGCGUCUCCGGCCGCCAUCGUCAACUCUGGCGAGGUCCGCGGAUCGGGAUCAGAUCCACCACCUCAACGAUCCAAACGCCUCCCCCACGCCCUGGAGCCCUCCGUCCCGCUCGUCCUCGUCUCGGGUUGACUUUUUGCGAGGGUAAAUUUCCACUAUCAUUUUUCUGUGAUAUUUUUAUGCCCUGUUUGUCAUCCCAUAACUUCAUGUGUGCUACACUGUUUCAUGCAUAUGUUAUAUCAAAAUGUUCAUUGGGAGAUACUCUUUAUUUCAUUCCAUUGUCCCAUGCUUGUUUGAGUUCAUCUUAAUUCCCUUAUCAUCGUUGCAAGAGUGGUAUAUGAUGUUAACUGUUGUCUGUUACCAGAACUUGCUGUUUUGUCUUUUUCAUUGCAUUUUGUGUGUGCAUCCUAUGAGCUUGAUGUCUACAUGAGUUUUGAGCUACAUCAUGUCAUAUUUACAGUGGUGCAAUCCAUGUAUUUUUGUGAGUCUUGUAGUGAGUGCACCGAGCUUGUGAAGUAGGGUACUUGUUGUUACUGUUUUGCUAGGCUGAAUCUGCUAUAUCAUGAUGCUAUGUAGACUUGUUGCUACAAGUCAUUCUAUGCAUAACCUGGAGAUGUUCACUAAGGAUGUUUUGAUUUACAUGUCAUGCUCUAUCCAACAUGACCCUUGUCGCAUUUAUAGCCUACUGUAGCUUGUUGUAAUCUUGCUCCAAACUUGAUAAACAAUGUUGCUGUCAGCUUGUUAACAUUAUGUUUAGUUUUGGCCAUGUGUUUUGCUAGUGAUCCAUGCAUCCUAUGAACUUGCUCUUACCAUUCUUCGCUUUAUAAAUAUGUCUUAUUACUGUUGGUCACCUUGUCAUGACAUGUGUUGCUCUGUGGUGAGUUGUACAAGCUCACCAACAUGCCUACUUAUUGUUGUUCCUGCCAUGUACUGCUAUCCUGAAUCUGUCAUAUCAUUUGCCAUGUUUGUAUGGAUGCUACCAUCUUUUCUGUUGAUAUUUGGAAUUAGUUCAGUAAGGGAGAUUUGUUCUUUGUCUUUAUUAUUAGCAUUCCAUGCCUUUGUUUUCCAUGUUUAGUUUCUGUAACAUGUUGUUUGAUAGCUCUAAAAAUUGCAACCUGAUGUUAUUUCUGCCAUGUCCAGUGAUUUCUGCUAAGUCUGUGAACUGUUAUUAUUUGCAAUCUUGCCAUGACCUUUUGAGCAUGUUCUAGUGAUUUCUGGAGAUAUCUCAGUGUUCAUGUUUUGUCAUGCUUUACAUGUACAUAAUGCCCAUGCCUUUUGUUCUUAUGUUGAGCUGAUGUAGCAUAUUUGUUUGAUGCUUGCUAGAUGCCUAUUUGUUGUUUUGGACAGCUUGUCCUUUAAACUUGUUUCAUGUGUAUGUGUUAAACCGUUGCUCCAUUUUGAGUGUGCUCUAUAUGAAACUUGCUUAGAAUUUCAUGUAGUUUCAUAUUAUCAUGUUGCAUCCUUGUUUUGAGGUGUUUGCUUGAUGUUUGGAUGUAUUUUGCAUCAAUGUCAUGUUUAACUUGUUUUGCUCAUAUCUUCUAGGCCGUAGCUCCGAACUAAAUGAACUUUAUACGUAACUUGACUAGAAUUUUGUGUAGAUCAUCUUGGUGCAUCUUAACUUGCUGUUUAACAACUCAAACAUAAGUUUUAUUCAGAUCUGGACCAAUUCCUAAAUUUGCAUAUGAGGACUUGCCGGAUUUGUUAUAUGUUGUUUCCGGCCUCAUUUAAACUUGCUUUGAUGUGUUGCUCUUGUAUGCAUCAUCUCUUGCCAUGAGUAGCCUCAUAUAGCCUUUGUCAUGCAUAAUGUUUGGUUGUGCAUCAUGCCAUGUCUAUGUGUUGUGUGUUUACCUUGUUGUUUGCUUCUUUCCGGUUGUGCUCCUUCUCGUUAGUUCCUGUUUCGUUGCGAUCGUGAGGAUUCGUUUGUCUACGCUUGGUUCGUCUUCGUGGCUUCAUCUUCUUCAUGGACUCGUUCUUCUUCCUAGCGGGAUUUCAGGCAAGAUGACCGUCACCUUGGAUCUCACCACUAUCAUUGCUAUGCUAGUUGCUUCGUUCUAUCGCUAUGCUGCGCUACCUAUCAUUUGCUCUUCAAGCCUCCCAAAUUGCCAUGUCAGCCUCUAACAUUUUCAUCCUUCCUAGCAAACCGUUGCUUGUCUAUGUUACCGCUUUGCUCAGCCCCUCUUAUAGCAUUGUUAGUUGCAGGUGAAGUUGAAGAUUGCUCCAUGAUGGACAUGAUUAUGUUGGGAUAUCACAAUAUCUCUUAUUUAAUUAAUGCAUCUAUAUACUUGGUAAACGGUGGAAAACUCGGCCUUAUGCCUGGUGUUUUGUUCCACUCUUGCCGCCCUAGUUUCCGUCAUACCGGUGUUAUGUUCCUUGAUUUUGCAUUCCUUACGCGGUUGGGUGAUUUAUGGGACCCCCUUGACAGUUCGCUUUGAAUAAAACUCCUCCAGCAAGGCCCAACCUUGGUUUUACCAUUUGCCUACCUAAGCCUUUUUCCCUUGGGUUCUGCAGACUCAAGGGUCAUCUNNNNNNNNNNNNNNNNNNNNNNNNNNNNNNNNNNNNNNNNNNNNNNNNNNNNNNNNNNNNNNNNNNNNNNNNNNNNNNNNNNNNNNNNNNNNNNNNNNNNNNNNNNNNNNNNNNNNNNNNNNNNNNNNNNNNNNNNNNNNNNNNNNNNNNNNNNNNNNNNNNNNNNNNNNNNNNNNNNNNNNNNNNNNNNNNNNNNNNNNNNNNNNNNNNNNNNNNNNNNNNNNNNNNNNNNNNNNNNNNNNNNNNNNNNNNNNNNNNNNNNNNNNNNNNNNNNNNNNNNNNNNNNNNNNNNNNNNNNNNNNNNNNNNNNNNNNNNNNNNNNNNNNNNNNNNNNNNNNNNNNNNNNNNNNNNNNNNNNNNNNNNNNNNNNCGGGGGCCAGUGCUCCUUCGAGUGUUGGUCCGAACUAGAGCCACUUGCAGCGCCACCUCGGGGAAACUUGAGGGCUGGUUUUAGUUGUACAUAGUGUUCAUCCGGUGUGCCCUGAGAACGAGAUAUGUUCAGCUCCUAUCGGGAUUUGUCGGCACAUCGGGCGGCUUUGCUGGUCUUGUUUUACUAUUGUCGAAAUGUCUUGUAAACCGGGAUUCCGAGACUGAUCUGGUCUUCCUGGGAGAAGGAAUAUCCUUCGUUGACCGUGAGAGCUUGUGAUGGGCUAAGUUGGGACACCCCUGCAGGGUAUAAACUUUCGAGAGCCAUGCUCGCGGUUAUGUGGCAGAUGGGAAUUUGUUAAUAUCCGGUUGUAGAUAACUUGACACCAGAUAUGAAUUAAAACGCAUCAACCGCGUGUGUAGUCGUGAUGGUCUCUUUUCAGCGGAGUCCGGCAAGUGAACACGGUUUUGGGUUAUGUUUGGCGUAAGUAGGAGUUCAGGAUCACUUCUUGAUCAUUGCUAGCUUCACGACCAUUUCGUUUGCCUCUCUUCUCGCUCUUAUUUGCGUAUGUUAGCCACCAUACUUGCUUAGUCGCUGCUGCAACCUCACCACUUAUCCUUUCCAUUACCAUUAAGCUUUGCUAGUCUUGAUACCCAUGGUAAUGGGAUUGCUGAGUCCUCGUGGCUCAUGGAUUACUACAACAACAGUUGUAGGUGCAGGUUAUGCGAUGAUCAUGACGCGAGAGCAACAUUUAGUUGUUCGGAGUUCUUCUUCUGCUUCUUUGAUCAGGGGAUAGGUUCCAGGUCGGCAGCCUGGGCUAGCAGGGUGGAUGUCAUUUGAGUUUCUAUUUGUGUUUCAUCUGUAGUCGGAUGUUGAUCUUACGUAUGAUGUAUUGAUGUAUUCUUGCGGCAUUUGUAUGCCUUGUAUGUAUCCCCAUCUUUCAUGUAAUGUUGAUGUAAUGAUAUCCACCUUGCAAAAGCGUCUCAAUCUGCGGUUCUAUCCUUGGUGGGACCUUCGAGUUUCUUUAGGAUAGUAUCGCAUAUUGGGCGUGACAGAAGGGGGAAUGAGCGAGACAGAUGCUAGGGUUUUGGUGGAUGCCUUUGUAGGCCGAGGGGGGCACGUGGAGGCCAUCCAUGUCCAUGGUGCCAUGGAUGCACGCCACGCCUAGGCCUCUGCCUCCCCACUGUACAGAGGUGGGGGAGAGGCUGUCGUGGGCUGGGCUUUGGGGCACUGUGGACACUUGAGCCCAUAUGCACAAUAGUUCAGGUCCUUUUCCUUUUAUUCUUUUACAUUUUUGUUUUAUUUAUUUCUUUUCUACUUUGAAUUUUAUCUUAAAACCAAUUGACUUUUGUUGAAUUUGAAAAUUGGCACAUAAAUAUGAGACAACAUUUUGAGCCAUCACAAAUAGUUUCAAUUUAUCUUGAAAUGUUUAACUAUUUGUUUAAAUCAGAAAAGCUCAAUUUAAUAGUGUUAGUUCUGUUUUAAAUGAAGAUAAGGGAGUUUUAAUAAGAAGAAGAAAUAUUGGUUUCUUCAUGAAAAUUAGUUAGUGAAUAAUUGCAACCCAACGAACAUUUUAAAUUUACUUUUUGAAGAAUUACAAAUUUGACUUGUAUUUAAAUUUGAAUUUGACUUAGGUUUUAACAAGGAGAGAUUAAGCUUAGCAAAAUGGGAUGGUGUGGCAUCAUUAGUCAGGUAUUCAUUGUAGCAUAAUUAUCGGGGUGUUACACCUGCAUUCAGCGGGCCAUAAUUGGGCCGGCCCGCAACAAGCUGUACUAGGGCCUGCUGCGGAGCUGCUGUAUGGGCCCUUCAUAGACACUGUAUGACUAGGCUCAUAACUCUAAUGGGCCUUUAGCAUGCCCAAAUUUAGUUCAGCCGAUGUAGCUUUGGAUCAUUAACAAGCUGAAUAUUCUGCUGGCAUGUGUUGGCCCAAAAGACACCAUGGGCCUUUAGCAGGCCGAGAAGCAUGUUGGGCCUCAAUUUUUAAGAGUAGUCCAUGGGCCUUUAGUAGGCUGAAAUAAACAUCGAGCCAAUAUAGGCCUAGUUACAUUACGGGUCAUUAUCAGGCCGAAACAUACCUCGGGCCUUGGUUUUCCCAAUCAUCUCAUAGGCCUUUAGUAGGCCAAAAGCUCUGUAGAGGCACCAACGGGCCGAAAUGUAAGACACACCUUUAAUAGUCCCAAAGUCAGGUUGGGCUGAAGUGUUGCCACCGAGAUCACGGGUCAUUAACCGGCCAAAUGUCACGUCAGACCAUAAAUGGCCCAUGUGCAACACGGGCCAUUACCAGGCCAAAAGACACACCAUGCUGAAAUGGGCCAUUUCUACAUCGGGACUCUAACAGGCCGAAAACACACUGGGCCAUAAUGGGGUCCAAAGACUAAGCGAACAAUUAAUGGGCCGGAUUUGGCGGUGGGCCAUAAAUGGGUCAACCCACUAGUACCUGAGCGAAGCUUAUGGGCCUUUGACUGGGCCAGCCUUUUUAACCUAAAUGGGCCAAUGUUGGGUCGUGCCACAUAUCAUUUUUUCAUAGGCCCAUCUCGUCCAAGGAUGAAUGACAUCCAUCGCGACGUCGAACUUAUACGUGGUUCCUUUGGCCAAUGAGAAUUUUACACGUGAAAAAUCGCCCUUGGCCUGGGCUGUUAGCGGGUUAUCGGAUCCAAAACCAGACCCGAGAGCUUAACGGUGACCCAUUACAGUGGAUGCCACGUGUCGGUUACCCUUGGCAAAAGCACUUUGAUGACGCACCAUUUAUCGUCAUGGAAGUGGACACUUCCAUGAUGAUAAUUUGAGUAUUGUCAUGGAACACUUCUACGACAACACAUGUAUGACUAUCUUGAUUCCGUCAUAAAAUCGUCACGAAUGUACAUGCAUGACAGAAAACAUGACCUACUAUGACAAACACGUAUCAUCACAGAAUUGUUUUUUUGUAGUGGUGUGUGCUGGCACUGCUCCUCAACAGAAAGCAAGAGAAGGUAUUGUUUUCAAGAUGGCCUAAGGUAUGAGCGCAGUCAGUCGUACCAACCUUGACUUCAGUGACAGGUUUGAAAAAUAAGAGCUUGUGGCGACCAGUGGCACAAGCAGUGAUACGCCUGCACGCGGCCGUACCAAAGGUCAUCGAUCGAUAUUUUUUCUUGAUUCUUUCCGGAUUUUGUUUUGAUUUUCUUCUAACUUCGUCUCUAAGAUUGAUCCUCUAACCAUUAUUUAAGGCCAAGGGUUACGUCCCUUCACUCAAUAUCAAUCUAAUCUCGAGUCCUUUUUGCAUGACACCUCUUCACCAAACCUUGUUCUACAAGAUAAACAAACGGGUCACCGCCAUGAGAAAUGGAUCUUCCCCAACUUCCAUCAAGAUCAUCUCCUUCCCAAGCUUGGAGGAGGUCGUCCUGAUGGGAUGGGAGGAUCCUAGAAAAAUGAUCCUAAAGGAGGAGAUGCCGGAGGAGGUGGAGACUAGCAAGGGGAAGAUCAUCGAGGAAGAGAAGGAAAAGAAGAAGAAGAAGUUUAACAUCCGAGGAUCUAUUCCUCUAUCUCCUCUUGGGCCGGAACCACGUGAGUGGGGAAAGGAACAGCCGUCCCCUGACGCGAUAAGCGGAAAGAUCAAGCAGCUCGAGAAAGUCUCUAAGGCAUGACUUGACACUAUUGGUGAGGGGAUCGAUUCUUAUUGGAUGAUUAGCAAAGACAUGAAAGGUAGGGUCGACGGUCUCUUCCAUACCAUAGAGGGUUGGGUGGUGGAGAUAUUUGGGAUCAACCAAACUCGUAAUUUCAUAACACUCUAAAUGUGGUUGUGCUCAACUUUCAAGUGAUGUAGACUGUUAGAUCCACAUAGUUUGACAACUAAGAUAGCUUGGAAUUGACCAAUUUUUGCUUUUGUGUAAUUUAUAUAAAAAUAGUAUUUGUAUCAUCAAACUUGCAAGUUUAAUCAUCAGUGGAACUUAACGUAAUAAGGUAAGGGCAUCUACUUCUUUUAGUCAUCCUUGAAACUCCACUAAAACACAUUUGUAUCACAAACUUCCAUGCUUUAUUCCCAUUUAUUUUCGUAAGCAAAAAAAUUAAAAAUUACUAUUACAAGUUUCAAUAGUACAGCCACAAUAGAGCAUAGUACCAACGCAAGUGAGACCUGGAUUUGUAGGAUCAUUGCAAAUAAACUCGUAGCAACAAGUUUUUUGUGCACAACUUCUGCAUGGUGUGCACCGUCUUGAAACGGUUCUUUGAGGCAAAUAGGUCCCUUGGACAAUUGUCUUCCUGUCACGUACUGAGUUGUCAGUUGCGACACUUUCUGUUGCUCCUGUUCAUCAUGCACAUCAUAUAUUUAUGUUAAUUUGAAAUAUAAUGAUAAAGGGCAGUGGCAUCUCUUUUUAUAGCAUGAGAAUCUAAAUAAGAACUCAUAAGUCCAACCAACAGAACUCCAUUUUUUUACUCAUUUUUGUGUGCAAGUAUAUAUAUACACCGUUUUAGCGGAUUGUUCAAGUACACAGCGACUUUUUCUAGAUAUAUUCAUGCUUAAUAAAUAUAAAGUUAACAUUUUUAAGCAAUAAAUGGUAAGUGAUUACCAAACUUUAUGAACAUUGAGCAACAUGUAAAUAACCAUGGGUGUACAAUGUUUGAACUUUGUCAGCCUGUAUAAUAAUAGGUUUUGCUUGGCCUUUUACGCUAUUAUUAUUACUAAUCUACCAUAAAAGAUGUUAAAACUCGAGAUUUUUGUACCAGUACCGGAUAUGUAGAUGAGGGUACCUAGUACUUGCAUAAAGCAUAUUUGAACCAAAUAUUCCACGCCUUAUGUCUAUAUUGGCGUAGGAUUGAUAUACGAAUUUGGUAAAAGUCUACUUCUUUUUGUAGAUCUAUCACUCCACCAAUACGAUGUCUAUACAUACCUUGGGCUUGGAAGUGGACACUGAGAAUAGAAAGGAUGACAAGGGUGACAAACAUAUGUGAGUAUGUCGCCAUGGGUAUCUAAUAAGAGAGAUCACUUCGGGGUUUGUUUUGUGCUCUGAAUGGGUAGAAACAUUGGACGGGUGAG